AUUGGUUAGACAUAUGCGCUAUUUGUUUAAUCAUUGGAGUUAUUAGUUGAAAUUAAUAUUUGUUUUUAAUAUUGGGUCUUAAUGCCUUCUAUGUUUGAAGUGUUUUAUUUUCAGACACGUACGUUGGAGCGUGAAAUAUGGUUUGUACGUGAAACACGGUUUGGGAUGAAUUGGGUGUGUUAUUUACUUAACAACUGGAGUUGCUAGUCAGAAUUAACAUUUGUGUCUAAUAUUGUCUCGACGGUUUUGGUUGUCAAAGGAUCUGUUCUCUAAACAUGUUAGGAUGCGAAACACGAUUUGAAAUGAACAUGUUUGGGACAUGAAACACAGUUCCAUUAGGGCGAUCAGGUUUGAGGGGUGUGAGACACAGUUCUGUUGGUAGUUAAACACACAUUAGGGUCUGUUUGGUUCUAUUGCUAGUUAAACAUACAAUAGGGUCUGUUUGGUUUGUGUUUUAUAGUAUUACUGGUAAUCUUAAUAUGAUUAAUAAUCUGGUUAUUUGGAUUACUGCUAGUGUCCCAUUAUUUUGUUUGGUUCAGCAAUGUAAUAUCCAAUUACGGCAUAUAUAAGAUUAUUUUGUUUGGUCAUAUUAUAUAUUUCAGUAAUUAUAAUAGUGAAGAUAAUAUUAUUUUGAAAAUAUCCUUAUAUAUUUUAUUUAUAUGAAAUUUAAAUGUAAACUUUGAAUUUAAGUUUAAAUUUAAUUGCAAAUUUUUAAUUUAAAUUUAAAUGUUGGUUCAAAUUUUAAAUUCAAAUUCUAAUUUUAAGUUUGAAUUUUGAAUUCAAAUUUUAAUUUUUAAUUUGAACUUUUAAUUUAAAUUUAAAAUUUAAUUCGAAUUUUAAAUUUAAAUUAAAACUUAAAAUUUUAAAUUUAAACUUAUUUUUAAAUUUCAAAUUUUAUAUUCAAAUUUUCAAUUCAAAGUUUAAAUUCAAAAUUUGAUUGCUAAUUCCAAAUUUAUAUUCAAAUUUAAUUUUUGAAUAUUCAAAUUUUUAAUUUUUAUUAUCUAAAUUCAAAAUUUGAAUUUAAAUUAUGAAUCAUAUUUCAUUUUAAGUUUAGAUUUCGCAUUACAAGCCCACCAAACGAAAUGGUUUUUUGGUCACGGCUAGCUAUUUUAAAUUUUAAAUUUAAAUUUAUAUUCAAAAUUUUAAUUCAAAUAAAAAAAUUUUAACUCAAAUUUCAAAUUAAACCAAAAUUUUAAACUCAAAUUUAAAAUUCAAAUUUAAAUUUUAAUUUGAAUUCAAAAUUUAAAUUUAAAUAUUUUAAGAAUGAAAAUAAAAAUAAAAAUUUAUUUUUAUUUGAGGUAAUUAGGGUGUGGAGGGUUAAUUUUAUAAUGUUCUAUAUAUGAGUUGUAAGAUAAUCAGCCGUCAGUAAUAUAAAAUACUCACCUCCUCUGUAGUAAUAUUUUGGGGUUAUCUCGUGUUAUUAGUACUACUGUAUUAUCACUCAGAUUAUUGGCUGAUAAACAAAAUAAUGCAAUCUAAAAAAAUUUCUAUAGAAUAGUCUAUAAUCCUGCUAAAAUAGCGCGAACUAAACAGACACUUAAAUUAAACAAAGACUUACAUGCUAUAUAAGAUUGUGACAUGCUAGGAGAAGCAUGCACGCAUAGUUUCAACAGAAGCCAUAUCAUUAAUCAAAAUAAGAAUUACUUGCAUAUAUCCUUAACUAAGUCCAACAGUAAUAGGCUAUAUUGUGAGUAAAGAGAUGAUGGUUUAUGAUUGCCAUAUCAUUGAUGAGUUAAGUUGGGAUGUUUCUUUUCUUGGACUUCACACGUAGACCAUCAAAAAAACACUUCUCGAUGCAUUAAGGUAAGUAAAUUAAAAUGAUAAAAUAUAUGUAAGUUGAAUCACUUUUUAUUUUGUACAUGAUAUGCACACGGAUGUUGGAACCUAAUAUAUGGACAUUAGAAUUCGAUAUAUAUAUGUAGGAGUUGGAGCCUUAAUUGUUGUAUUGGAAUGGGAACCAAUUAUCUUAGCGUUGGAAUCGGGUACAUGAUCGAUGUGCUUGUAGCACAAUUUAUUUAUUUAUUUAUUUAUUUUGUUUUUAAUUUUUUUUGUUUAUUUAUUAGUACUAACUAUAUUUUUCUGUAAUUUCGGGUCAAGUUCGUUACAUAGGAAGAGAGAACUAUUGGCCAGGAGUUGAAUAGUUGGAUAAUAUCUAUGUAAAUUUUUUGCCUUUUUUUUUUUUUUUUUUUUUUUUGAGUUUUUCAGUUUCAUUUUGAGCUAUUUUAUUUGGACUAUGGGUUGGACAUAUGUGCUAUUUGUCUAAUAAUUGGAGUUAUUAGUUGAAAUUAAUAUUUGUUUUUAAUAAUGGGUCCUGAUGUCUUCUCUGUUCAAAGUGUUCAUUUUUUAGACACAUUGGAGCGUGAAACAUGGUUUGCAACGUGAAACAUGAUUUGGGAUAAACAGGAAGUGUCAUUUACUUAGUAAUUGAAGUUAUUAGUUUAAAUUAACAUUCAUUUUUAAUAUUGAGUCUUGAGAAUUUUGGUUGUCGAAGAAUCUAUUCUCUAAACACGUUGGAGCGUGGAACACGAUUUAAGACGAACAGGUUUGAGACAUGCAUGAAACACAUUUCCAUUAGGACAAUCAGGUUUGGGGGGCAUGAAAUACGGUUCGUUGCCAGCAAAACACGCAUUAAAUUAAACAAAGACUUACAUGUUGUAUAUGAUUGCAACAUAUUAGGAUCAGAAGCAUGCUUGGAUAGGUUCAACAAGAUAGCCAUUUCCAAGGAAUCAAGACAAAAAUUACAUACAUCCUUAACUAAAGUCCAACAAUAGUCCAUAUGGUGAGUAAAGAGAUGAUGGUUUAUGUCUACCAUAUCACAUGACGAGUUGACUUGGGAAUUUCAGAAGCAAACUAAUCUAUUUGUUCUCUUGAACUUGGUACGUAGACCAUAAAAUUGUUGAUGUAUUAACAAUCAAAGAAAUGGCGAGGAGGAGGAAGACGAAUCUGAGCUACAGGAUAAAAACUAAUGAGAGAAGAAAAAAGAAGAAAUAAAAAAAAUAAGAGUAUUUUAUUCAGUUUACCAAAAUUUCAGGUUGAAGCUAUUUAUUUAGUUUAAUUAUUUUGUUUACUGGGAACUAUUUUGUUUAGGCUAUAUGGUUAGUCCAAGAUGCUAAUUUCUUGGUAAUUAAAAUUUUUAGUUCAAAUUAGUGUUUACUUUUGAUAUUAUAAUUUGAGGCAUUUUGUGUUCGAAAAAUCUUAUUAUUUAAAUACCUUGAGGCGUGAAACACGCUUCCCUCAGUAGUUAAGCACACAUUAAAUUACACACGGUCAAAGGCCUUCCAGGCGUGGCAAUACAAUUGGAUAUGUACAAUUUUUCCAACAUAAACCAUUACGUACGGACGAAGCCCUAACGACGUAAACCGUGUCGUCUUAUUCCUCAGUUAAUACCCUACCGAAUUCAUCCGAUUCCUGUAGCAAUCCAUCACUUUUGAGAGAAAACAACCUGUUGAGAAUCCACAAUCCACCUAAUAAUGAUCAUUGAAGAUCUGAUACUCACUUCCACUGCAGAAAAAAGCACUUGUAGAGACUGUUUUUAGCGAUCAUAGAAGCGAUUUAAACUGCCUCUACAAUUUGUAGAGACAGUUUCUGCAACCGCCGCCAGACCGCCGGCGAAUACGAUUUUAUAGAGGCGGUUGUGGGAACCGCCUCUAGCACCUUUUUUUCUUAUAGCGUUGGACGUCGAUUAUUGAAAUUUCUCAAUGAACUCAUCAAAUUAAAUUAGUUAAGAUGUAGAUAAAUAUUGUAGAUAAAACUGAGUAUUCAAUCCAAAUAGGGUUGGAAAGAUUACAACCCUAAUCUAAGGGUUAAAAACCCUUCCUUAGAAUUCUUUUUUUUUUAAAAAAUGAUGUGAUAAGUGAAAGUAAAUAUAUAUCAAAAAGCAUUAAACUUCAGAGAAUGUCUAUGUAUUAACCAAUUAAAUUUUUACUAUAAAUCUGCAUAUUGAGAAAAACCUAGUACAAUCGCGAAACAGAAAAAGCCAAUUAUCAUACUUGUUAGACUAUGUAAUUGUAAAUAUUUUGUGUCGCGCGAGAAUAUUGGAGCAUGAAUUGUAAAUAUUUCGUCAUAUUUAUUAGACUAUGUAAUUAAAAAAAAAGAGUAUGUAAUUGUUUUUCUUUUUGUUUCAUAUAUAUGUUAUUGUCCUAUUUGAGCCUUUUGAUAUAUAUACUUAGACAAUACCUUAAUGUUUCACAAACUUUUUUCUUAAGAAAAAACAAAAAAGUACACAAUAUUUCUUUUCACUUCUCAAAUUAAAGUAGUUUCAUCUAUCCCAAGAUAAUUAAGUGCUACGUUCUUUUAGAUUACAAUUACAACAAAGCCUCACUUUUUUUAGUUUUAUUUUUUAAUUAAAGAAAAUUAGUCAACUUUUGUUACAGUAUAAUCUUUUUUUACUUUUGUCUUUUGAAAAAAAAUAUAUUAAGUAAGCUCCUUACAUUGUUUUCUAGUAUUAAAGUUUUUAAUUUUUUUUUCGAUUUUAUUUCUUGAAUUUUAUCAUGUUUAUUUUUUUACAUAUAUUUUUUAAACUCAAGAAUUUUUUUUUAAAAAAAAACUCGCGCAAGGAAGGGCCCCAGACGGCCCUGGGGGCUCCAACCUACUGGUUGGAGCCCGGGCAGUAACCAAUUUUUUUUUUUUUUCCCUUUCCAUAUGACACUUUUUUUGAAAAAUAAUUAUUUAAAAAUAUAAGUAAAAAAUAGUAAAAUAAAAGUUAAAGAAUUAAAUUAAAAGUAAAAAAAAUUAAUAGAGGAAGAAAGUGGAUAAUAAAGAGCCUAUUUCUAGUAUAUUUUAAAUAAAAAUAAAAAUGAAAAUAAAAUAUUAGAAAGAAUUUUAUUUGUUGUUAAUUAAAAAAAAUUAAAAUGGCUACAGAAGAUACAAGGCUUAAUAGUAAUCUAAAAGUUAAUUAAUUAAUUAUUUAAAUGAUAUAAAAUUAUUUUUAAUUUGAGAAAUUAGAAAAAAUGUAGUGCAAUUUUGUUAUUUGUUUUGAAGGAAAAAAAUCUUAUAAAAUGUAAACAAAACAAUAAAUUAAAUGCAAUUAAGAAUAUCAAAAGAAUCAAAUAGAGUAUCAAACAUAAUGUUAUAAAAAUAUAAAUAUAAGUUAUUUUCCAAUACUAUAUUUUCAAUGCAAGUUUUCCUUCUAUAACAAUAUACAUAAAAAGUGAAGUAGGAUUUUGUUUUAAAAUAUCCUUUGUUCUAAUUUUUGUUACUCAUAUUUCUUCAUAUUAUAUUAUAUUAUUAUUGUGUGGUGUGUGUGUGUGUGUGUGUGUGUGUAGAGAGAGAGAGAGAGAGAGAGAGAGAGAGAGAGAGAGUAAGAAAGAAUUGAGCUAGAAUGCUUUUAGAAGUAUAUGGGCCAUUUUACUUCUAAAUUUAUAGUUCUCGAAUGGAGUGUAGAAUUGAAAUGAUGGUGGUUCCCUAUAUACACUAUGUAUAUAUGUGUGUACAUAUACAUAUACAUAUACUUCUACUCUCUAUUUAAAAAGUUUGGCAUGGAACUAUUUUUGUUUGCUACUCAGCAAGCGCAAUUGUUGGCUUAUGUGGGAUUUUGAUCAGGACGGCACCUCAAUGUAAUCAGGGUUUCCAAGAAGCCCUAGUUGGUUCGGGGUCUACAAUAAGCCUUAGUUUGGUUCUCUUAGUGGAAGGAAGUUUACUAUGUAGCAACUAAACUACAUCAUCUAUAUACAUCGAGUAAUAUUUUUUUUAAGAAAAAAGUAUAAUAAAAAUAUUUUUCUAAAUUUCUUGACAGGAUGAAUGAACCAUAUAGGGCAAAUAUGAUUGGUUGGAGACGCGAUGUCACCCAUAUAACUGCUAUAUUUUAAACUUUUUUCUCUUAGUCGUGUCUUUUUUUGGAUUUACUAUGCGAUCUUUCCACAUCAAUAAAUGAGGAUACUAUCUCUGUGUAGGGUAUCCUUUAUGUCAGUAUUUUUGUUGUAGUGUGGUAAAUCUUAAAGAAAUAUAUUGAAUAGAUGAAUAAAAAAUAAGUCAGUCACCUUUGAAUGGAAAAUUUCUAAUUAUCAAGAUUAACUACCAAGAAAUUUUUUAUUUGUUAGGGAUUAAAUUGCCCCAAAAAAAAAAAAUUAAGUUGACUUGCUGAUUAAGUAAGUAUUUCAUUUAUAAAUCCACAUCUAUCAUUGAAAGCAUUUGUAAGGACUGAGAUUUGACAGUAUAGCUAAACUCUAUAUUGAUGAUAUUUUUGUGUGUAAUUUAAUUAUAUAAGCACUCGUCAAGUUUCAGGAGAAAACGAGUUAGAAUGGAGAAGUUACGCGACCUUUACUAAUCACUUAAAGUGAAUAGUAACUCCGAUUUUUCGGAGGGGCCAAUCAGUGGAGAUGGUAUUUGGUGCGCAUUGGACUCCGUUCAUAGUGAUCCAAUAGCUCGUUUUCAACGGUUCGACUAUCCUGGACCCAAUGGCAUUGACGGAUUUGGAUUUUGAUGCACAAUUUUCGAGAAAAAGGAGAUUUAUUGGAUUUAUACAUAUAUUUAGGUGUUGUUUUAGAAAAUUGGAGAGUGGAUGGGUUUCGUCGCAAAUCGGCGACCAUAUCGGGUGAAACAAAAUUAUUAGUUCGAUGCCCCAGUCGUGCCGAACGCGUGGGCGCAGUCUGUUCGCAAAUCCAGCCUACGGAUCUCCUGAUAUUGUGCGAAGAUCGAGAAGGGGUCGAAAAUUGGCAAAACGAAAAAUCUGCAAAACACCCCAUAUUUUAUGUACUGUUUUGCGCGAUAUCAAAUGGCAAAGUGCGUAUGUGCAAAAUACACGCGCUACCAGGGUCUCGACUGAAAAUACUAGAUCUCGAUAUACUUUUGUGCAAAUAUGCUACCUAGUAUAAAGGAGCUGACAAGGGUUUUCAUGGAAGAAAACCCUAGCCUAGCUCAGCUGACCUCUAGCCGUCAUUAGCAUCUGCCCCUGCCCUAGUUGCGUGCGCCUCAGCCAUCUGCGCACGCAGCUGGCAGCCGGAGAGGCCGCUCAUCUCUCUCCUCCAUUAUCUUCUCCACUAAAUCACCCUCUAUCUUUGCCCGUGGACCAGAGCCGCGCUACCAGGGUCCUCACCCUUGGGCACCCCUCUUGCAGUGGCCUUGACCUUCGGCAACUCCCUGCGCACGUCGCCGCUGUCCCCACAGGCCGCCGCCGCCGCCGCUGCUAGCUCCCUGCUGCCGUCCCGAGUCAGCUCAGGCUGAGGCUGAGCCAGCCUCCCUCCUGCGUGCUGCCGCCGCCCGAAACCUGCCUCGCCGCCAUCCCUCGACCUCCGGCGACUCCUCCUGUUGGUCGCCGCCGGCCCUACGCGCCGUUACUGCGGCUAACCAGUCCAGCUUGGGCCGAGGCUGCCCCAGCUCUUGGCCCUCGUGCCGCCGCCAUCUUAGGCCACCUGCGUUACCCUCCUCUGACCUCCGGCGACCCCUCGCCGUCGCCCCGUAGCUCCCUGGCCGCCGCCUUGGCCGCUGUGACCUGCUGUACCCAAGCUAAGCUCGUGCGGGCUCGGGAUGCUCCAGCACUGCGGCCGCCGCCUUCCGUCGCCCUUACCGGCCGGAACUAGCCGAAGCCUCCCUGUUUGUGCUUGUGGCUAGGGCAUCAAUGUCUGCCUACGCCGCCACCUUCCGUCGCCAGCCGAUGCUUGCCCCGACCUCCCUUCAUUGCCCGAACCUUCCUGCCGCCGGUGCGCCCGCCGCUCGGCCGCCGCCGGCCGUGCCCUAGCUCCCAUUGGCCCGGUAAGCUUUAUUAAUCUCGUUUGUGCACUAUUUCCUGUUCAGGCCACUGUUUUGGCGACCCAAAGCUGUUCCGAUGCCUCCGGAGGUGAGCACGGUGAUCGUCGGUCAGUGCUGAUCAUAGUACUCACCUCAUUUGGGGUCAACGAACCCCGGAUUAGAGAAUUAGACGUGUUUUAGUUUCAGCGUGCAGUGUUCGCUGAACUUCGAGUUGCUCCCGCGCCUCUUGUAGUAGAUGGUUGUGCUCCGAAUUGUGAGCACGGCCUCCGGCAUGUCGAGACUUAUCAGCACGUGUCUUGGCCGACCGCGAAAGCCCUCGGUUUGCUGUAUCGAGCCAUAAAACCCGGUAAAUCACAUAAAAUAAUGUGAUUUUAUGGUAUGGUAAGGGCAUUUGUAAAUUGUGCACUUUGUGGGUGCUGUGGGCAAUAUGUGUGGACUGCGGGUGACCUCUGGACUGAUUGUCCAAGGUCUGAUGCCCUUUGUGGAUAUCGAGUAUCGAUUUUCGGUGCGUUUUUCGGCAAAAUUCGCCGACGGAACGCGAUUUUGGUUCGGACUUUUUCCGAUAGUGCUAAGGCGAGUUAUGUUUUGUCGCUGAGCCUUGUUGGUUGGUCACAAUAGUCAUCUCGUGAGUUCGGAGAUGACGGGUGAGCGACAGUGGGUUUCGGUGUUGAAAUAGACACUUCCGGGAAUCCGGAUCCAAACGAUUAUUUGACGAUAAUUGUUUGGAGGUGUGAUCUUGUGUUUGCUGUCAAGACAUCCAAAACGAUGUGUCUUGUGGCGGCGGGUGACUUGUGGUGCGAGUUAGUGAGUUUCGGGACACUUCUUGGGUCUUGGCGGAAUCCCGGUGCGAGUUUUGGGACUUUCGGCAAGUUACGGUAAUCGGUUUUGAAAAAUCGAUUCCUGUAGGUUGUGCAGGUGGGAUUAUGAGUUAGUGUUUCUCAUUUGUGGGUUAGAUUCUAACCCGGUGGACCUUCCGUAGGUCCGGUUGACGUUCUUCCACAGUCGGGAGACAGGUGCUACAUAUGUACAGGUGGGUACUUCGACCCGGAGUUGGUCUAGUGGUGCACGCUCGGUGAUAUUUUCUCUACCUUUUCUCUCUUAUUACAGUUGUUUAUCAUUGUUAAGUCCGACACCAUGUGAACCUUUAUGUCGCUUUACUUAGUAUUUUUCUAUACUCGCAAUCAUGAUCUAGAAGUAGAGCGGACAUUGUUUGCCACUCGUCCAUUGUGACACUAUUGUGACCUAGUCGUUCGGUUCUAUGACUCAUGUCGUUUGAUGACCUAUGAGGUCGGUAUACCCUGAGGGGUAGGAUUGUCAGCUAGUUGUCGACGGAUAAUUAUAGAUUACACAGAUCCAUCAUUUAACAUGUAUGUGACCUAAUCGGUUAGUUUCGUGACUUUUGUUGUUUGAUGACCUAUGAGGUCGGUGUACCAUGAGGGGUAGGAUUGUCGGCUAGUGGCUGACGGCUAGUUCUGGAUUAUAUUGAUACAUGAUAUUACAUUCUUAUGACCUAUUGGUUGGUUCUUGUGCAUACAUUUUAGUUGAUAUUGAGUGAUCAGUACUUGCAUACCUUUAGGAGGAUAUUGAGUUGUUCCAUCCUAGUUGACCUGGGUGGUCGGUACUUGUGUUUCCUUAUAGUUCGAUGACCUAUUGGUCGGUAUGCCCCGAGGGGCGGUGAUUGUAGGCUAUUAGCCGACGAUUGGCUAUUGAUCAUAUCCGCAUUGAUCGCCACAGCUCGAGUGCAUUUCACGUAUACCAGUGGGUUGAUCCCCCGCAGGAGGGUGUUCUUUUCUGGAAAAGUAGUCGUACAUCCGACUCGUGAGCCUAACGGUGUUCUCUUUGUGCUAGCAUUACAUGCCAGGUGCGAGCAGGUAGUGGCUUUUGCCUGAGGUCCUUGGACCGACAUGGUGGUUUAGAUUGGGUAUAUUUGGAUUACUCGUCCGGUUGACGCAUAUGACUAUAGUAUCGGUUGUUGCAUGCAUACUUAUAGUCCUUUAUUUACGCUUGUCUUGCUACUAUAGUUUUGAUAUUGAUGUAUACAUUCAGUUCUACUUUACAGUAGCGGUAGUUAUAUGUUCUGUUACUGUUCUCUUUCCUUUCAGUUUAUUACUACUAUAUUUGUGAUAUCUGCUCAUGACUUUGUUUAUCUUUUUCUGUACCGGUGAGUACUCCUCGCCUUCGUCGGCUUGUGGUACCCACUGGGAGUGGAGACAUGUGUAUAUGUUCUCACUCCCCCACCAUUUUUCAGGUAUUGCAGGCGGUGAGGGUGAGACGAGGCGUGAAACACGUUAGUAACGGUCGAUAGAACUUCCGACCCAGUUGAAUUGGUUUAGUUGCUAUCCUUACUAUAUCUAAUGAAUUGACUGAGACGUUUUAUGAUUCAGUUGAUUUUAUUUUAGUUGAAUAUAUAUAUAGUUUUGUGAAGUUAAAUAAAGUAAUUGUGGUUUUCACGUAAAAUUGUGAAAAAUAUUUUCUACCCUUCGUGGUAGCGUUUUAAAGGAAAAGUUUUCCGUGUGGAAAACAAUUUUAAAAAGAUUUUUUCUUGAUUCUCAUGAUUCUUAGUGUUUCAAAAUGAGUUUCCGGAUAUGAAACGUUUUAAACUAAUAGAUGAGGAUUUCUGUUUAUUUGUGAUGGAAUAAAUGAUAAUUGUGAUGUGGUAAAUGUAUGUAGAUGUUCAUACUGUUAUGGUUGUAUCUUGUACUUAUGUGACGCCGUGAAAAUACAGGGAAGAUUCUGUCCGUGUGAACAAUAAAUUUUCUGUAUUUAUGGCGGAUCUGACAUACUCUGGGGUCAAGGUUUUCAAAAAAAGAAAUUUGGACACUUUCGCAUCGAUUUUUAAAGCCAGAAGGACCCCGGGACGUGAUAGCGUUUUUCCAUCAAGAAACUCAUUUUGAAAUACUAGAAUCACGAAAAAGCAGAGCAUUCUUUUCAAAAUCAUUUUUCAUACGAAAAUCUUUUAUUUUAAAAAUAGACUGCCACGAGGGGUAGAAAAUCCACAUGAAAAUUACAAAUACUUGUAUUCAAUUUUCAAAGCCAUAAUAUGAAUGAAAUAAAAACAAAGUUAAGUUAAUUAAGGUUAAACUGAACCACGAUAGUCUAAUUCAUUAUUCAAAGCAAAAGAGGGAUGAGUCUAGAAUCGACAAUAACCAAGCCGAGAACUCUACUCUCGCUAUGUGCAUGCUUCACACCUCGUCCUGACUCGGACCUCCAACGUCACCUGAAAUGGGGGGGUUGAGAAAUCAACAAAGGGUCUCCUAAUGGGUACCGCAAGCUAACGAGGGCCAGUGUACUUACUGGUAACCAAAAAGUAGCUAGGAAUGAUGAUACAGUAGCAAAGUAAAAUAAGGAAACAAGGUAUAUAAAUGCAACUAUCGCUACUGUACAUCAACAUGCGUCAAUUGGACGAUAAGUCCAAAGUACCUAAUCCAGAAUCUGCCAUGUCGGUCUACAGACCUCAGGCAAGUGCCAUGCCGCUCUAAUGGCAUAUGACCCUAGCAUAAGCUCCUGGGUUCACGGAUCGGAAGUCCUACUACUUUUUUGGCAAAGAACACCAUUGCGUGGCCAAACCACUGGUGUACGUGAAAUGCGUAUGAGUAGUAGCAAUCUAUGCAAAUAUGAUCAAUAGCUAUUGGCAAGUAGCCAACAAUCAACCCCUUAGGGUAAACCGACCGAAUAGGUUAUCAAUCAAAGUCUCACACCGACCAAUUAGGUCACACUGAUGUCAUAUCAUGAACCGAGAUAAUCAUCAGCUGCACUACUCCUAAAUCAUGAUAGUCAGAUAUAGAGAUACAACCAAGUCGAGUAACAGGUAAUGAAGUCACAUGGUGCAAGGCUCAACAAUAUGGGUAAUGCGAGAAACAUAAAGAGAGAGGGUGGAGGGAACGUCACCGAAUGUGCACCACUAGACCGACUUCGGAUCAAAGUACCCACUUAUAUCAGUGUCGUGUCUGUCUCUGAACUGUACACGAUCGUCAAUUGGACCUACAGAGGUGGUCCACCGGGUCAGUGUCUGACCCACUAAUCCAUAAUACAUAACUCACAGACCCCACACAUUUUUCCAAAAUCGGUUUCCUAAAAUCGAUAAUCGUAACUCGCCGAAAAUCCCGAAACUUACACCAGGAUACCGCCGGGACCAUAGUUAGUUAAUUUGGAUUCGGCAAAAAUUCGGUACGGGUAUAAUUCGGAUAAAAUUCGUCUUUUAAUUUUUAAAUUCGUUGAAGAAUACAGCUAAAAAAUGGAUUCGGUAAUUAUUCGAAUACGUGAUUUAUACGAAUAUUAUACGUUCACCAAUUAAAAAUUCAGGAUUAAAAAUUCGGCCAUUAAAUUAAGUCUUUUUUCUCUCAAAAUUUAUAUUAUUAGCAUAAAUAUUCAUAUUUUUUAAGAAUAUAAAAAUAAAGAACUGCAAAAUUAAACUAAUUAAGUAAAAAAAUAACAAACUAUAUAGUAUAUUAUGCUUAUAAAUAAAAUAUUAUAUAAUAAUAUUUCUAUAUAAAAAUAAAAUACUAUAUAUAAUAAAUAAAUAAAUAUUUAUAAAUAAAAUUAUAUAUAAUAUAUAUACUAGAUAUAUAUAAUAUAUAUAUAAUAAUAUAUAUAUAAAUAUAUAUAUAUAUAUAUAUAUAUAUAUAUAAUGAGAGGGAGGUCCACCGUCCCUCUCAUGUGGCCUCGUGGACCGCGCGCGAACAAAGCCUCCCAAACGCCGUGCCAUUUCCACCUUUUCGUUUUCGCGGAAGGUGACUCGAUUUUUUCUCCAAAUUUUCUCCAAAAUUUAUAAAAUAGCUUUUCCAAACAAAAUUUUACGGACAAUCAAACAUGGGAAAAAAAAUUUUCGACCGAAAUUUUUUUUCGGAGGGGUUUUACCGGGAUCCAAACACUUGCGAGUUCUGCGACGAGAGUGGCGGAGGAGGGGGACGACGACUACACUUUGGCGACGAGAGCGACGACGACGCUACCUGUUUUUUUGGGCGAAUCAUUCGCAAAUCGUGAAUGAUUCGUGGAUAAUAAUUUUUGACGGAAAAAAGCGUUUUUUUUCAAAUUUUUUGAAAAAAUACGGAUACGGGCAUUUAAUUCGGUUAUUCAAAAAUUCGCAAAUUAUUCGUGAAUUAACUAAGCAUGGCCGGGACCCACUAUGUCAUGCCCCGAAUUACCACGUUUUUUCGAGCACGCCAACAGAUCCGCCGUACACAUAGAAAUUUUUUAUGUAUACGAAGCGAUAGCCAAAAGCCUGCAAACAGAUAUAGCUAUAACCAGAGGUAAAGAGCUGCUAACAAAAACCGAAACAUAUCUAUAAAAAUAAAAGGCCACUGUACAUGCAAGCUCCAAAAGUACAACCACGUCCCAGUGAGUACAACUAACAACUGUAUGUACACGGUAACAUCCAAAACUACCUUUGCGGGGGUGCUCCUUUAGCAAAAAGGACCGGAGAAGAUAGGGAUCUAGCUCGCGACUCCGCUACCACGGUCAGAAUCAACAGCAGUAGCAGAUGAUGACUUUGCAAAAAGGUAGCAACAAUUGGGUGUGAGAACUAUUGUAAAAUAGGGUAGUUCUCAGUGGGUACCGUCACCGACCCCAACGGCCUACCCAAGAAGUCUAUAGAAAAGGUAUGCAAAGGAUAGUAAAGUAAGCUGGAAGAAACUCUACAGCUAUAUGCCACUAUUCUAUAGCUAUCCAAACCAUGCUCUCUGUAGAUAUAGAAAUGCAUCACUAGCUACAACACACUGACCCAAUCUCAAUGGACCGCCAACUGGCUAGUCCAGCCUGUACCCAAGCUACACCGCACACCACCCACGUGGGUGGCCGGUCCAAGAACAAUGUCCAAACAGGAUUGCUGCGACAUCAACGCAAGUAAAGCCUCAUUCCGGAGUGGCACUCGUGGGAGCGACCCAACCGAGCAUGUAAGCGUGUCUCUGUCGAGCUCAAUCAGGCACACACAGGCUAUAGUCAAUGCAAAUAGGUCUAACUAGUCUAACAACCAAGGCUCACGUGCCUUUGGCACAAACUACUACAAGAUGUAGGAAUCUGGGUCUACUGUCAGUCUCGACGGCACCCGACAGUAUAAAACAGUCUAACUUUGCUGUAAAAACAAGUUCGCCUCCUUAGCACAAACGUAAUCUCAACCUACACUAAUCUGAGUAUCCACAACGCACUAACAUCGGUGAUACAAAAAAGAUAUUAGCUCCUGAAGCUAUAUUUGGUAACUUUUCGAAAAGUGACAGUGUAGGUUUAAUCAGUUUUCACCUAAGUCAAAUCGCAGUUCAGCAUAUAUAAUUUAUCUAAAAUUCUUAGAGUAAGCUCUAAAUUCAGAUUUCAUAUAAACAUGUAAAUCCAUAAAUUCGAGCUACUAAACAUGAUGAACAAAACAAGAAAAUACAUGCAGAUAUCUCUAUGACUUAGAAGGAAUUCCGACGAUUUUCGUAAACAUUAACCCACCUCAAAUGCUUGUCCAAUGUCGGCUAGAAGUCGAUAGGAGAGACCCCGCGCUCGCUCAACUUCAAAUGGCUCAACCAAGUGCGGGGCAAUCCUCCAAAGACCAAGCGAACGGAAAAUUAGCUCGUUCCUCAAAUUCCCAAAGAAAUGAGAAAAGAAGCUAAAGAGAGAAAGAGUGGGAGGAGAAGCUACCUGUGUUCUCCAAGCUUCAGGCAUAAAGAGAAGGCUGGGGAGUCGGUUGGGAUUUAUCCGCAACAAAAAAACUAAAAGACCCCUUACCAACUCAAUUUGCCGCCGGAGUACCGGUACUCAAUUUGGGUAUCGGUACUCGGCCCUCAAACAGCAAACCCACGCGCGCUGGGUACCGGUACUAGCCCGAUGCAAUACUGGUACCCAGUCCCAGUACAGGUACACACCAACAGGUACCGGUAGUUGGCACCAAAUGCGCAGACCUGAGAGCUCCCCUUCGUGUAAUCUCUCUGGGGUACCGAUACACCUCUCAGGUACCGGUACACAACACUCAAAAUCCAACUUUUGCAAAUUUCAGUGUUCGAACUCCAACUCUCACAGUUCUGAGUCCGUUUUCGAGUUUAUUUUACACCAAAACGACUCUGACUCGUCCCGACACUUUACAGAUGUGUCGACAAGCCAUUGAUGCUGCAGUCGGUCCGAUAAUUAAACCCCAGAGGCACUACACACUAACUAUCCCGAAACUCAUUGACUCGUGCAAAAUGCAUCUUUCAAAAUGCAUAAAAAUUAUAUGAUUUAAAUGCCUAGAUAAAUACAACUGCUAAGCCAUUAAGUGUAAAAUUUUUUAGAAAUGACAAGCUGAGCCAUAAUUACAUGUACUUUCUCGUGAAACGAAAAAUCUCAUUCAAGACAAAAUAAAAAGAAUAAAGUAUAAUUAAUAAGAUGAAAGAGUACAACAUUCUCUUAAAUAGUAUAAUACGCUCUUCUAAAUGUAUAAGUAGUGCAACAUAUACAUUGUUAAUACACAUUUUGCAUGAUUUUUACAUUAAAUUACGUACAGUUUAGUAUAUUACGCGAAAAUAAUAUAAUAUAUUACAACAUAUUAUAAAAAUUAUAUAAUAAAUGCACAAACGGUACAUAUUUUAUACUGUUUGUACAGAUAUUUACACCAUUUGUGUAAAUGUUGCACUAUUAUAAGAAAAUAUUGCACCAUUUAGAUGUGUGUUGCACUCUUUCGCUUUGAAAAUUAAAUUUCAUUACAUAUUAAAUAAAAUGUCAAAUUUUUUGAAAAUAAUAACUGUUAAGCCAUAAUUAUAUAUACCUUUCUCGUGAAAUGAGAAAUCUCAUUCAAGACAAAAUAAAAAGAAUAAAGAAUAAUUAAUAAGAUGAAAGAAUACAACAUAUUCUCAAAUAGUGCAACAUACUCUUUUAAAUAGUGUAAUAUCUGUAUAAGUAGUGCAACAUAUGCAUUGUUAAUACACAUUUUACACGAUUUUUACACUAAAUUACGUAUAGUUUAGUAUAUUAGGCGAAAAUAAUAUAAUAUAUUACAACAUACUAUUUAUUUUAAUUAUACUUAUUUAGUGAGUAUAUUUAUUUAUUCACUCACUAGUAAUUAAUUAAGUCUGUAUGUCUACUGACUAGUUAGGGUUUGAUGAGAGAAUUAUGGGAGAGGAGCCGAAUAGUUAGAUAUAUCCAUACAAAUUUUUAGAGAUACUUGUCUUACUUGCCUAUUUGUUUAAAUUUUUUGAGUUUUAGUUAUGUUAUUUGGACUAUGUGGGUUAAUCGAAUAUGUGUUUUACUUAAUAAUUUACUUAAUAAUGAAGUUAUUGGUUGAAAUUAAUAUUUUUUCUUAAUAUUGGGUCUUGAGACCUUUUAUGUUCGAGUUAUCUAUUGUUUAGACACGUUGGGAAGUGAAACACGAUUUGUGGCGAAUAGGAUAUGCUAUUUAUUUAAUUAUUAGAAUUGCCCGUUAAUAUUAAUAUUUGUUUUUAAUAUUGGAUUAUGAGGCAUUUUGUGUUUGAAAAAUAUGUUUCUUAAAUAGGUUAGGACGUGAAAUACAAUUUUGAUCGAGCUGGACCGACCGUUUCUAGCGCAAGUGGCGACGCACUUGGUAGUUGAUACCUAAGGUCUCAAGUUCGAAACCUUAUUGCUUUACAUUUUCAGCUAAAUUUAUUUCUAAAAAAAUUAAACGAAACGGAUAGCAUGCUAUCUUUCUCUCAAACAAAAAAAAUUUGGUCGAGCAGGAUGUCUAUUUACUUAAUAAUUGACGUUGUUUAGUUGUUUUUGAUAUUGGGUUUCAAGACCUUUUGUGUUAAGAAAAAUCUAGUCUUUUGACACGGUAGGGCGUGAAACACGUUGGAAUGAAAUACGAUUUAGGUGGAACAGGUCUAGAAUAUGAAAUAUGAUUUGUGUCGAACAGGUUUGAAGCGUGAAACACGAUUCGAUAGCGAGGCUUGGAACGUGAAACACGACUCCACGGCGAGGCUUGUGUCGUGAAAUAUGAAUUUGUUGUUGGCCAAACAAUUUUUUUAGAAAUAAACUUAGCUAGAAAUAUGAAUAAACUAGGAUUUGAACUUGGGUCUCGGUUACCAACCACCAAACCCUUUGUCACUUGUUCUAGGGACGAUCGGUUGGCCAAACAAUUAAACAUUAAACUAAACAAUGGUUUAUAAGUUGGGUAUGAUUGUAACAUGCCUAGAGUAGCAUUCGAAGGCUUUCCAGCUGGCGUGAGGAUGACAUGCAUCGUCAAUUUCCUAACAAUAUAUAAUUAGUGUGUACGGACGGCAGUGUCAAUGUUCUAACAUUAAUUAGUGUGUACGGGCGAAACCCUAAACCCUAGAGACAAGUCCUCUUAUACCCUUAUAAAUACCCCCCCGCAUGCAUCCUAUCCCUCACAGCAAUCCACCGUUUUUGAGAAUAAACAACCAACAAUGGGGGUUAGUAACUAGAUUAAUCGAAGCUUACAAUUUAUUCCUGUACUAUUAUUUUUUAUUUUUGUUUUUUCAUCUGAAGUAUCCACAUGUUUAAUUUGCUUGUAGGUUGUGAAGGAGGGGCCUUGGGGUGGAGAUAAAGAAGGGAAACCAUUCGACACGAAAACUGUCGGCUGGAUUUUGGGCUUCGAGGUCUGGUAUGAUGACUACAUUACCGGAAUCCGGUUCAAUUAUAAGCAAGACGGAUUCGAAAUAUGGACUCCAGUGUAUGGUAGCCAAUCCGGAGGUAGUCGCGAAAAGGUCUGUAUUCCUCGAUAUGUCUUCUUUUUCUUUUUCUUUUUCUUUGAAAAAGAAGAUAGUAUACUACUCGUUUCGUUUAUUUUCUUUCCUUUUAAAAAUAAACUUANUUUUUUUUUUGAAAAAGAAGAUAGCAUACUAUUCGUUUCGUUUAUUUCCUUUUCUUUUAGAAAUAAACUUAGCUAGAAAUGUGAAUCAAAUAGAAUUCAAACUUGGAGCUCCGGGUAUCAACCAUCAAGCCCUUCGUUUUGCCUUUUAACUCUCUUUUUACAUUACUAACCGUUUCUAGAGUAAGUGACAAAGAGCUUGGUUGUCGGUACCCGAGGUCCUAAGUUCGAAUCCUAGUUGAUUUCACAUUUCCAACUAAGUUUAUUUCUGAAAUGAAAUAAACGAAGUGAAUAGCGUGUUACCUAUCUCUCAAAAAAAAAAAAAAAAAAAAAAAAAAAAAAAAAAAAAAACUCUCUCCUUACAUUUGCUACCUUUGCCUUUACAGGCAUACUUAAGAAUUUUUACAGCUGGGACCCUAAUUCAUGACAUUAUUAAUUUCCAUUAUGCUGCGACGUACGGUUGCACUAAUAUAUAUGUACGAACGUGCAUGAAAUCCACCAUCGGUUUUAUCUUGCAAUGUAUUAUCACAACUUGUUAGCGAACAACCAUAAUUAAGAAUAAGCUGAUUAAUUAACAAAUCCAGAAAAAAAAAAAAACUUAAAUCCGAUUCCUCUCUUGUACUGACUAUAAGCUUCAACUUGAGCUCUCCUUCUAAAUUUGUUUUAUCCUUCUAUAAAUUCGAAGAAGAAGACUUCUUUUCUCUUCUUCUCUUUCGCAUACAAUGUCGCACCCUCUGUGCCAAUUAAGCAAGGUUUUCAAAAAGAGACUCGGCCGAAAUCACUUUUAAAAAAAAUAAAAGAAUUGCUGAGUUCACACACAAAAGUCUUUUUUUUUUUUUUUUUCCUAAGAGAAAGGUAGCAAAUAAACUCGGCUAGAAACAUAAACCAACUAGACUUCGAACUUAGGAUCUCGGAAUGUUGCAACCACCAAACCUUUGUCACUUGCACCAGGGUUCACGCCCAAAAAGUUAAUUAGCACUUCUAUGCCUUAUAUAACACAUAUAAUUAAGCUGCAACCUGCCCAAUACCCUUGUAUAUAUAAUAAGAUAUGUCUACUCUAAUGUAAAUUCAAUUCUUUUUAAUUUAUUUAUCUAUUACAUAUUUAAAUCUUCAUCCUAAUCAAGUUAGGAAAUAAUUACAAGUCUAACAAAAUUAUAACAAUUAGUUGAGUUUCUGGAAAGACGAUCAAUUCAAUCGCCUCUCCAACUAUUGCGGACCAAAACUACGUACUGCAGUCCGUCAAACUCGCAACAGUUGUUGUGUAGUUGCUAGCUUCAAAUUAGCUUGUUUCGAACUACCUCUCAAGUCGGUAAGAGAACAAUAUGGAAGUGGAGAAGAAUUUUGGGGAAGCCACCUAGCUUCGCAUAUAUUUUAGUUCAGCACCAAGAUCAAAUUCAACUAAUUAGAUAAAAAUGACACCCCAGCCGAUUUUUUCACAUCCAGUUUACUGCUGUACGAUUUCUCUAUUCCACAGGUUCAAAUCAGUAACAGACUUACCGGCAUACGAGUUACGGUGGAUAGCAAAGACAACCUUACUGUUGUUCGAUCGCUUACUCUUGUCGCCGGUCCUUUAAUCAGCUAUGGACCAUAUGGUUCUUCUGGGGCGGGAAAAUCUUUCAGUGCAAAUGGUACAAAUAUUGUUGGCUUCUUUGGGAGUUCAGCGGAGCUGAUUAAUGCAAUUGGGAUCUACAUAAAUACCUAGUUUCUCUCUACUCUAUCUGCCCCGGGUUUACUACGUGACCUUACUAUAUAUACGUAUAUAUAGCAAUAAGGAUACAGUGUGCCGGGUAUCCAUUAUGUCUGUUAUGUCUUUAUGUGUGUCUAUAUAUGUUUAGCGGGCAAUAGUCGAAUUAAAAAAAAAAAAAAAAAAAAAAAAAAAAAAAAAAGAGUCUGCCCCCUUAGAUCUUUGAAAUAAAGAAUAGCAGGCAUGCUAUUCGUGUGUAAUGUUACUGUACUUCUGUUAUAAAUAAUAAUAUUGUGUGUUAUAAUAUUUGUGGGUUUGUAUGAUGUUCUUAUAUAAAGAAUGUGCGGAUUUAUUUUGUUGUUAGCGAUGUUAGCGAACGAAGGGCCGGGCAAUUAAUGCGCAGCUGUAAAGAUUUUUUAAGUUAAGAAUAUUCUUCUACAUAACUAACAAUUUCGCGUAUGAUUUGCCCAGUUCAGAUAAAAAAAAUUUCAUUAAAAAAUUAUAAUUUUAUAUUGCGUUGGUGGAUAAGGAUAAAUUUUAAUAUAAAUGUGCUAAAAAUAUGAACCAUAUAUGGACAAAUAUAACUUUAAUAUCUGGCCCUUUAGCUUUGUUAGUUUAUAUCUAAUUAUGAUUUAAAAGUGAUUAUGAUUAUGAAUUAAUUAUUAAUCGAGAUACAUUUUAUGUGUGAAAUUAAUUCGGAUUGAUAUAAAGUUAUGUAUGGGAAAUAAGAGUGAUAUUUUGAGUUGAACCACCCAACUGGGGAUCGAGCAAGUCUAAAUUGACAUAAAUUUGAACCUGAAAUGUGUAAAUAUGUAGGUCGAUCUAUGGGAUGAAACUUUAUGGGAAAAGAUUAAUCAAACUGGAAGAGUAAAUGGAUGGCUACGUUUGGGGGAAUUGAAACUAACCGUGGCACAUUAGAUCUUGCCUAAUUGGACUACCGAUGAUACGGGUGUCGAUCCAACUCGAUGUUUGUGAGUCAUUUUGUGUUCAACUCGAGAGUGGCUCAAGCUCAGCUCGCUCAUUUAAUAAAUAAGCUAAUUCCGAACUCACUUUUCCUUCCCAAAAUGUAAACCAUUGAAUAAGAGCUAACUGUAGCUCACUGAUGUGAUUGAAGUUACGAUUUGGUGCGCUAAUUAAUGUUGAGCUCAGAUAUCAAUGUUAAUCUUUUCCUGCUCAUAUGGUAGAACCCAGUGUUGGGCUAGGAACGAAACACAAAGGUGAUGCUGACCGGAACACGUUAUUGACCUGAUUAGAUGCUCCCUCAGGAUCUGGAUCAGCUCCUGAAUUGACACUCGAAUGCAUCAUAUCAAAUCGAUCAAGCGAUUCGGCUGAGAAGAGAUCGACUCAACCGGAUUCUAUAUCAUUUCACUAAUUAAAGCCGAAGAAUCAGGAAGAUGGUAUUCGGCUGAUCGAAGACUCGGUUGAAUAAACCAUGUCCUUUGUAUUGUGGAAAAAUUUGGGUUACAAGUAAAGUUAAGGCUAUUUCUAGAAAAAGCUAUAAAUGCUAGAAGAAUAAAAAUUACAAGUAAACUAUUCUUAUAAAAAUUGUAAAUGCUGAAAGAUUAAAAAUUACAAGUAAACUAUUUCUAGAAAAGUUGUAAAUGCUGAAAUUAGAAAUAUUGAAAAUGCGGAUAUUUUAUUGUUGGUUUACAUACCGAUAAAAAUCUAUCAAUUGGUAUUAGAGCAAGAACGACAAAUUAAAUAUUGUAUAUAUUAUGUACUUGGAUCACAUUAUGAUAAUUUAUGCAUAUUCAUUACAAAAGGGUAUCACAUAUUGAUUUAUUUUUGAAAUAUUACGCGCGAGAUCCGCUUUGGUGUUGGUUGCGUGUUUCGGCCACGCAUAAGAAUGCCAUAACAUUGUUCUCUUCUUGAUCAUGUAUAUGCACAUCCGGUGCGUUCGGGGCGUGCGCCGGAUUCAUGCAUGUUAUACCCGGAAGCUAAUUAACGAGUGUUACGUUCUGGGCGUUCUGGGCGUGCGCCGGAUUCAUGCAUGCUAUAGUCCGAAAGCUAAUUAAUGUAACAACCCUGAAGAAUAAAUGGUAGAAGUAGUAGCAGUAGUAGUAGUUAGCAUAGGAGAGUAGUAAAAAUGUCAACUUUACAAAGUUGAGCAGAGAAGUGACAGCAAGAGGUUGGUGAGGAGUGAGCUCGGCAGAGCGAUCCGGCGGGAAGGCGCUCGGGCGGAACUCCGGCGGGAAGGCGCCUUCGAAGGGGCUCAGGCGAGCUCGAUGGAGCUAGGGCAUCCUCAAAGCUCGGAGAGGGCGCUGGGAGGUCUGACGGAAUCCAUGUAGUUGGGGAGAAGAAGAGGACUGGCGGAUCGAAGCUUCAGGAUCUCAGAGUGGAGGAAAAACGCGGACCCGAUAUCCGUCGGGUCGUGGAUGAUGCGGAGAAGGAUGGAACCGACGCCACUUACUGCUUACGAGUGGGUCGGGCGGGCCAAAUCCCGGAUCGGAGGGAAAUGGCGGACGCAAUACCCGCCGGGUUGUGGAUGAUGCGGAGAAGGGAGGAUCCGACACCGUAUGCCCGACAACUGACAAUCUGGGCCGGGAAAGCCCAGCAAGAGGUCCAACUACCACAGAAUAGGAGUCCACCAGGCCCACACCUCUAUUUACCAUUUUUGCAACAAUGCCCUCGUAGAAUAGUUUAAUUAUAUUUCAGUACAAGUUGUAUAGAGUAUAUAUAGUUAACAGGAUGUAAUUGCAAGGCAUGAAUGGAAAUGAAUUAGUCUAUUUUUUCUCCCCCAAAAGUUCUUCUCCAAACCCUUCUUCUCCACUACUUCUCUUCCCCAUUCUCCUCUAUUCCUAAUUCUCUACUCUCUACUCAACUCUCUCUCUCAGUCUACCUCUACUUCUAUCUCUCUUUCUCUUACCUUUCUUAGCCUCAAAUUGCCUCGGAUUCACGACCGGAAGCUCCCAUCAUCCUCUCCGCCAUACCGGCCUCAGCGAGCUCUCAUCAUAGACGGUUGCGGAUCGUCCGGGGAUAUUACAAUUAAUUAGUGUUGCGUUCCGGGCGCGCGUGGGAUUUGUGCACGUUGAAGCCCCAAACCUAAUUAAUUUGAUGAUUGGGAGAAGGUUGAAGUCCGGAAUUAAUAGGUGCUCACAUGCGGUGCGGAAAAGUGACGGUGAUCUGAUCGUGUAGGAUGAUCGACAAUCUUUUGAAUCGGAUCAAUAAUACGAUGCAACAUGUGGCAAUAGCAUUGGACUUCAUAUGCAUUAUGGUCAAAGCUUAAUUAAUUAGUUGGCUUCUCUAGCAAACUAAUAUUUAUUAGGUCUAAUUUUAUCUAUAUGUAAAUUAUCUAUUCAGCUAAAUUUGAUCCUCGUAUUUAUUAAAUUAUUGUGAACAUAUAGAAUCCGUUCACAUAAGGAUUUUAUUUUGCAUACAAUAUUAUUAAUAUCAUAAAUGUAUUUGUUUUAUAUUUGUGCUCAAAUUAAGAAUAUAUAAAGUUUAAAUUUGGUUACAAUAUUAUGUUUUAAAUUAUUGCAUCUAUAUUCUUAUUUUAAUCGGGCUUAACAUUAAAUCUCGUGACAAAUUUUUCACUCGUUAUUAUCAAGGUGAAAUGGCAAUGAAAAUAAACAUGCAUAAUAGCUUCCAAUAAAAAAAAUAUGACCAGGGUUUUAGGUUCAGGUAUAUGAAAAGAGUAGAUAUUUUUUAAUGACUUGAGACGAACGGAAUAAGCAUUUAUGCAUGUCGUCAAUGAGCUCCCAUGCUUAAUUAGUCGUAAGUUUUUUUGUGUAUAUUGUUUGUUUUGUUAGUAACACAAGUUCAAAGGGCCCGGUUUCGUGCAUAUCCACACUAGUAAGCAUUGCGCGCGGUACUAUAUAGGCUUCGUUUUGGUUCGGGUAUAAAUACGAACUAUUUAUUUUAGAGAUAGGUACAAGUUCAAAUAUAAUCAAUAACUAGUUUAAUUUUACGUUUAGAAUGAAAAUUUGGUUGUUUUCAUAAAUAAGAAAAAUAAUAUUUGAAUAGAUAAGAUGAAAUAAAAAAAAUAGUGAAUAUUUAUAAAUAGAAAAUAAUGAUAUUAUCCUUCUUAUUAUAUUUGAAUUUAAAUUUUUAAAUUUUAUAUUCAAAUUUUUAAAUUUAAAAUUUUAACUUUUAAAUUUCAAAUUUCAAAAUUAAAAAUUAAAAUUAAAAUUUUAAAAUCUCAUAUUUUAAAGUUUAAAAUUCAAAAUUUUAAAUUUCAAAAGUUAAAUUUAAGAUCAAAUUUAAAUUUGAAAAUUUAAAAUUUAUGAUUACAAGUUUUAAUUUUGAAAUUACAACUUACAAAUUUUUAAAAUUCAAAAUUUAUAUUUUAAAUUUGAAAUAUUCAAAUUUUAAAAAUUUAAAUUUUAAAUAUUAAAUUUUAAUUUUAAAUUUUAAAUUUUACCAAAAAGGGCAAGAUGUUCCAAUGCUGUUCUAAGGUGGGGUGGGAAUUGUUAUUUUAGGAUAACUCGUUAAGGUCGGAAUAACAGUUCCCAUCUUAACUAUUUUUUAUUGGCCAAUUUGCAUAAAAAAUCCACAAGGUUUGAGCUUUUGCAUAACUAGGCCACCUUUUUCAAUUUUACAGAUUCAGGCCGGAUUUUUUUUUCCAUCAGAUGAAAAUGCCCUUAUUUCUUAUCUUCCUCCGCCGAUGAACCCACCACCUCUUUCCGCCGCCUCUCCCUCUCCCAUGGCGUCCAUGGCCUGCAUGGCAUUGACAUCUAUAGCCUACAUAGUGUCGGCAUCAAGUGGGAUCGGUGUCGCCUGCACGUCAUACUGCAGCGGCCACAAGCCGUUGCGCGGGACCGCAAAUGGGGUGGCAUGCAGCAGCGCCACGUUGAUCCGGUGGAAGCUAAGCGUGAAGUCGACGUCCGAGAAGCCCGCGGUGGCCGCGCGGUUGUCGUUCUCGGCGACGACCGUGAGGGGUAUCCGGACGCCAAGCGUGCCGGACUGGUCGUAGUCGAGCCAGCCCAGGUGCGCUGCCGGUACGCGAAGCGGAGGGAAAGAAGGAAGAGGAGGAGGAGGAGAAGGAGAAAUGGUGCAAAUUUCGCCCAAAAUUGCACCAUUUCGCCCAAUUUUGCACUAUUUCGCCCAAUUUUGCACUAUUUAGUCCAAAAUUGCACAAUUUCUUCUUCUUAUUCUCUUCCUCUUCCUUCUUCCUUUUAACACUAUUACACUAUUUUUUACACCAUAAAAAAUUGCAUUCUUUGGACGCUCUCAUCUCCCUCGCUGGAGAGUAGGACUCGGACGGUGAUCUUCAGGGUGUGGAUCCACUUUUUCAUCUUAGAGUUGAGGGUGUCCAACUCGAUCCUCUGGACCUCCUCGAUGCUUAUCUUGUCGACGGCAAGGGCCGCGAGGGUGGACGACGAUGUACAUUUGGCUCAACUCCUGGCUGUACCCGGCGCAGAUCAUGCGGCCGACGAUCUCCGCGAGGUCGGCGACGGCAUCGACGCGGAGGAGGUCGGAGGAAAAGUGGUCGGCGGAGAAGGAUCCCCGGCCUCCGCCUCCGCCGCCGCCGCCGCCGCCGCCGUGGGAGUCCUCGAGAUUGGCGCCGUGGGGGUAGGGGUCGGAUUUGGGGCAGGAGGUGGGGGUGUCGUCGUGGGAGAGGGAGAGGCGGCGGAAGGAGGAGGUGGCUUGUUCGUCGGAGGAAAAGAAGGCGAUGUGGAAGGUGCUGCGGAGGAGGAGGUGGUGGAAGAAAAAAAUAAUGAAGAAAAAAAAAAAGAAGAGAGUGAAAAAAAAAAAUAGAGAGAAAGAAAAAGAAUAAGGGUAUUUUCGUCCGAUGGCGAAAAAUUCAGCCUGAAUCUGCAAAAUUGAAAAAGGUGAUCCAGCUUUACAAAAGCUCAAAACUUGUGAAUUUUUUAUGCAAAUUGGCCUUUUUUUUAUUUAGGUAUAAAAUGUGUGAUAACUUUUUAUCCCACUUUUUACAUCCCAACCAAACAGAGGCUCUGAGUGGCUCUGAGUGCCAAGCCCUGCUUAUACGUAAGUUUGUAAUAUAUAUGAACCAAAUUUUUUGUAAUUUUUGAAUUAACAAACUUGUCCAUAAAUUUGAAAAAUGCUUCGCUAGUGUUAAAAGCGACAAAAAAUUGAUCCAAAAAAUAAUUAAUAUAGAAGAAAAUACAUCAAAAUUUAUGUGAUUCUACUACUACCCUACGUUCAUGAACGAAAACGAAACAAAGACUUUUAUUAAUGUUGAAGGUGGAGCACAAGGUGGAGUACAAAAAGAUCUCUUCCAAAAAAAUAAAUACUAAAAUAUAAAUGACGGGCAUACAACACCUUUGCUUCUCGGCUUAUUGUCUAAUGUGCAAUGCCGCAGUUGUUACACCAAAGCUCUGGAUGAUGCGGAAGUCUAUUACGUCACACUUACACCAUAUCAUCAAUAGCCAGCCAAUUAUAUUUCUUAUUUUUCAUAAAAUGUAUAAUAAAAGUAAUUUUCUAAUAAUCAUAAUGGGAUGAGUGAAUCCAAAGGAAAAAAAUUCGAUUGAUUAGAGAUGCCACAUUAGUAAUAUAAUUAGUGCAUUUUAAACUUUUUCCUUGAUGAUGCCACCUCUUGUUCGGACCACCAACAACACCUUGGUUCCUAAUCAGAGCAUAACUUAAGAAUUUACCUCUUAUGCUUUUAAAAGUAUUAAGUCGUUGAUGCUUAUAAGUUAUUGGUCCUUGAAUUAAGGGAUGUGCGAUUAUAAUGAUAGUGGUUAUUUAGAGCUGAGUGAGUUGGUUGAAUAGUAUGUGAUAGAAUUUCAUGGUAUGUAAAAUAAAUACAUACCAAAAUCCAGGAUCAAAAUAAGAUAACUCACAGAGCGCCAUCGAGAAGAAAUUUCUGAUCAACUUGCGAAAGCGUGAAGUCCGGCUAUGAUCUGAAAGUCACAAACCGAACUUGGGUGAUUUGGUUUCUCCUUCUAUCUUAGGCACUCUACCGUAUGGUGUGGAACUGAUGGUAAUUCUUCACCAGAAUGCGUAUGAGAAGGUGGCAGGACCAAUACCCUUUUAUAUAGAGUCCAGAUCGACUUCCCAUCAAAAUCUGAUUAGGAUUCUAUUUAAAUUUAAAGUAGAUGGGAUAGGGAUAAAAAUAUACCAUAUCAAGUAAUUCUAUAUCUAUUAGGAUUGACCUUUAUCUAUAGCAAAUCCUAACUUAAAGAUGAUUAAUUGGGCCACAAUAUAUGAAAAUCCUAACAAUCUCCCACUUGGCUCAUAUUAAUCAUAUUCCAUGAACGGAUUUUCUAUGUUCCAAUCUUUAUUGCGCAUUAUUGAAAACUUUAUGGUCAAAAAUCUUAGAACCCACUUGAUUUUUAGCUCAAACUAAAAGACUACAAUGAUAGGAACUAUGGCGGUCCACUUCUUCAUAACGAAAAUUUUCUUCUGUAAUUACCGUAUCAUCUUCACCUCCUAGCCGAGUACUUUAUAUGGUACAACUUUAUGAAUGAACUUAAACUGUAUGUUCAUUCAUUAAUAGACGGAACUUUAUGUCUAUUAAAUGGUCCAACACAGCUGCAUUAAACUUUAUUGAAAAAAGAUAGAUGUUACAAAUUUAUGCAUCAAAAGAACUAAUCAAACCCAUAACUUUAACACGAUCUGUAUAUGACUCAGGUGCCGGCCCCUUGGUCAUUGGGUUUGCAAUCAUACACUUGGUACUGAUGUAUUCAAUUGUAACAUAACCUUCAUCUAUCUUCUCUCUCACAACAAGAUAUUCGGUAUCCAAAUGUUUACACCCUACUGUAAUCUUGUUGUUAUUGGCAAAGAAAACCGCAGCUGAACUAUCACAGAAAACUUUUAUUGGAUAAACACCGAAAUCCACAAUUCUUAAGUCUGUGAUAAAAUUCCUAAGCCAAAUAGGCUAUAGUGUGGUAUCGUAACAUGCAAUAUAAUCCAAAGUUUCUUUCAAAUACCUCAUAACCUUUUUAGCAGCCUUCCAAUGCUCAAUGCUUGGAUUACUUUAAUACGUGCCAAGUAAUCAACGGCAAAAGCAAUAUCCGGACAUGUGCAUGUCUGUGCAUACAUAAGACUACCAACUGUAGAGGCAUAGGAUAUGUUUUUUAUCUGUUCAAUUUCUAAUUAGUUCUUGGGACACUGAAAAGCAUUAAGCUUAUCCAUUUUCUGGAUAGGAGUAACACUGGGCUUACAAUUAUGCAAUAGCCUAAGAUCAUUACUGGCAAGCAAAAUAUCAUCAACAUAAAGGACUAAGAAAAUUAUUUUACUCCCACUAACCUUUAGAUAAAUACAUUGAUCAACAAUAUUUUUCUUAAAACCAAAAGUUAAAAUAGUUUGUUUAAAUUUUAAAUACCAUUGUCGGGAGACCUGCUUUAGUCCAUAUAUUGAUUUCUUUAAUUUGCAUACCAAGUGCUCCUUUCUCUUUUUGCGAGAAUCCUUCAGGUUGAUUCAUAUACACCUCUUCAUAGAGAUCCCCAUUUCUUGACAUCCAUCUGAUGUAGCUCGAGAUCAAAAUGAGCAACCAGAGCCAUAAUAAUACGGAAAGAUUUCUUUCUAGAUACUGAAGAGAAAGUCUCUUUAUAGUCAAUGCCUUCUUUUUGAGUAAAUCCUUUUGCCAUAAGACGAGCCUUAUAUCUCUCUAUGUUACCUUUGGAGUCCCAUUUGAUUUUAUAAACCCACUUGCAUCCUACGGGUUUAACUCCUAUAAGUAACUCAACAAGAUCCCAUACCUUAUUGUGGUUCAUGGAUUCAAUCUCAUCCUUCAUGACAUUGUACCAUUCCGUAGAAUUAUUACUAUUUAUAGCUUCGGAAAAACUAAGAGGAUCAUCUAAACUCUAGCCAUUCUUAUAAAGAUAGACAGUAUGCCGGUCUUCUCUAUCUUGAGGAUUUUCUUAAAUCCAUCUGAUUAUCCACAUGUACAUCUUGAUGUGAAUUAUUCACUUGUACAUCUUGAUGUAAAUUAUCAACUUGUACAUCUUGAUGUGAAUUUUUUACUUGUGCAUCUUGAUGUGAAUUAUCAAUGAUAGGUUCACAAUGAUUUUGUGGUUCCAGAACGAUUUGUUGUUCUACUGGAACAGGAAUCAUCAAAUCAUGAGGGACAAUAGUGGGUUUGUCAAGUACAGAAUCCGAAUGCUUUUUAAUUUUCUCAAAUUCAAUGAACCGAGGUUCAGAGCUCCCACUAAUUGCACCAUCAUCAAUAAACCGUGCUGUUUUAGUUUCUGCAAUCUUUAUAGGAAGUGAUGGACAGUAAAAUUUAUACUUUUUGGACCUUUGUAAAUAAUCAAUAAAAUAUCCUGAUAUGGUUCAAGGGUUCAAUUUCUUUAUUUGUGGAUCAUAUAAUUUGGCCUCAGCUUGACAAUCCUAUGUAUGAAAAUAUCUUAAACUGGGUUUCCUAUCUAUCCAAAGCUUAAAAGGAGUCUUAGUGACAGCCUUAGUAGAGACCCGAUUAAGAAUAUAUAGGGCAGUUUUGAGUGCCUCACUCCACAAUGAUAUCGGAAGGAUAGAAUUACUGAUCAUGCUCCUGAGCAUAUCAAUUAAUGUGCGGUUUCUUCUUUCAGCGACACCAUUCUGAUCAGGUGUCCCUGGCAUGGUGUACUGUGGAACAAUUCCGCACUGCUCCAAAAACUUAGCAAAAGACCCAGGGAUUUGGCCUUUAUCUGUUUGUCUACCAAAAUAUUCACGACGCCUAUCUGAUCUGACUAUUUUUAUCCUUUUCUCGAGUUGAUUCUCUACUUCAGCCUUAUAUGCUUUAAAGGCAUCUAAUGUUUUGGAUUUUUCUUUAAGUAAGUAGAGAUAGCCAUAUCGAGAGUAGUCAUCAGUAAAUGUGAUAAAAUAUUUAUGGCCAGUAAUUGAAAUAGGAAGAGGUCCACAUAUAUCGGUAUGAAUCAACUCUAAUGUUCCAUCACAUCUUUUAGCACUUUUAGAGGAAGUUUUGGUCUGCUUUCCCUUUAUGCAGUCCACACACAUUCCAAAGUGAGAGAAAUCCAAAUCAUCUAAAAUGCCUUCUCUAAUUAAUCUUUGGAUUCUCUGUUUCAAGAUAUGUCCUAAUCUCUUAUGCCAUAACAUGAAUGACCUUUCAUUAUUAAUGCCAUGUUUUGAUAUAAUAUUUUCGUGCAUGGUAAAAAAGAUUUCACUAUAUGAAUCAUCAAAAAAUACUUUAUAUAGAUUGUUUUUCAAAAUAUCAGAGCCAACUAUCUGAGAUUUAUGGGAUAAAGAAAAAAAAAGUUUAUUAUUAAAACUAAAACUAUAUCCCAAUCCAACAAGUUUCGAAAUAGAAAUUAAAUUCUUAGAAAAAUUUGGAACAUAAAAUGUAUCUUCUAAAUCCAAAAUAUGAUCAGUAGAAAGAACUAAUCUAAAUGUUCUUAUAAAUUCUAUUUUAGUUGGAUUUCCAUCAGCUGUAUAGAUAAUUGCUUCAUCUUUACUAGGUUUUCUGCGAUUCUGAAAUCCCUGCACGGAAUUCGCCACGUGGCAUGUGGCAUCAGAGUCAAUCCACCAAGUAUUAGACGGAACAUAAACUAAAUGCAACUCAUGCAUUAAAACCAAAAAUCUUACCUUUCUUCUAGAGCCAUUUUUGAUACUUUUGACAGUCUUUCUUCAUAUGACCCCUUUUCUUACAAAAGAAGCACUUGGAAGUCCGCUUACUUGAUUGGUCUUGUGAACCAGAUGGAACUGCCUUGUUCUUUCUUUUUUGAGUCAUUUUUUUCUUUAUCAUUCUUAGCUCGCUUUAUUUGUGUUUUUUGAGAAAUAAAGUUAACUGCAUUUUGUUUCUCUUGUAUUAAUCUGCCUUCCUCUUGCACACACAUGGUCAGUAAUUUAUUAAUUCACCAUUUAUCUUUAUGUGUGUUAUAAGAGAUCUGAAAUGAUCCGUAUUCAGAUGGCAAGGAGUUCAAAAUAAAGUGUACUAAGAAUGAAUCAGAGAUGGUUACUUCAAGUGCAGUGAGUUGCGCUGCAAUAUCUCGCAUUUUCAUAAUAUGCUCGCGAUUCGAGCCAUUUUCGAAGUAUGUUAUGGAAGACGGUUUAUUCAUUAAGGUGCUUGCCAAGGCUUUAUCGGAGCUAACAAACUGCUCCUAAAUAGCCUUUAGAUAAUUCUUGGCUUUAUCACAUUCUGGGAUUGAUCCCCUUAUGCUUUUUGAUGCUAUUGACUUUAUGAACAUCAAACUUAAGCGGUUGGAUCUCUCCCACUUUUUCUGCGCGGAUUCCUGCUGUGGAGUCAUUGGCCCCACUACCUUAGCGGUUGCUCAACGCGCAGAGCCAAAUCUUAAUCCAUAUAGCCCAAAAUAAACAUGAUCUGUUCUUUCCACUCCGAAUAAUUAGAACCAUUAAGUAUAGGAACAGAUUCACCAAUAGGAACAAAAAAUGGAGUCAUAGCUGAAAAAUAAAAUGUAUGUUUUAUUAAUAAAAUACCACAUCAAAAUUACCACACCAAAAUUAGAAAAAUACACUUUAUAUGACAUCACAACCCCUCAUUUGGGAGCAGAGUUAUGAGCAUAAGUAUUCUUCGUUCUUUAUGCAUAUGCUUUAUAUGACAUCACAAUCCCUCCUUUGGGAGCAGAGUUAUGAGCAUAAAUAUGCAAUCAUUCCUUAUGCAUAUUCUUUAUAUGACAUUACAACCCCUCCUUUGGGAGCAGAGUUAUGAGCAUAAAUAUACAAUCUCAUUAUCAGAGAUUAAUUUAAACUUUCUGUAGGUCGUGAUAAUCUCAAAUUUUCCAUAUGAAGAAAUUGUCAGCUUUGGCCAGACAAAUUUCUCCAAACGAGUUAUAAAAAAAUUACCAUCCUACACUACCUAUGUGCCUUCAUGUCUAGACCUCCUUUGGGAGCAGACUAAACAUAAUAUAUAUAUAUAUAUUCGAGCUUUUCGAACUUUUCGAGCCUAAUUCGAACGAGCUGAGUAAUACUCAAGCUUGGCUUGAAAUAAAUUUCGAGCCUUUUAUUUUGUUCAAGCUCGGCUCAUUUAAUUUCGAGUCGAGUUCGAGCGAGCCGAAUAUCGAGCCGAACACGAGUCGAACGCGAGCCGGCUCGCUCGUUUGCCAGCCCUAGCUGUUCGUUCGCUUACUUUUCACGCCGGUGGUACCACGUAUGGACCGUAUGGUAGUGAGGAAGGAACUACUUUCUCUCUCAAAUCAAUUUAUCCAGUUGUUGGCUUCUUUGGGAAUGAAGGAGACCAAAUUAAUGCAAUUGGGCUCUACUUGGAAACGGGUCUAGCUCUACCCGAAUCCAGCCACUAGCUUCGUCAAUGGGGUGAAUAUGUGAUCUUUCUAUAUAAAUAAACAAGGAUACCAAUUAUUUAUGUGCUGGGUAUCCAUAUGUCUUCAUGUGUGUCUAUGUUCAGUGGGGUAAUGAUUAAAAGGAAAAAAAAAAAAAAUCUAUCAGCUUUGGGGUGUAUGAAAUAAAGCUGUAUGUGUGAUCACUCUACGUACGUAUGUACGUACGUACUACGAAUAUUAACAAUAUUGUGUGUUGUAUUAUUUGUGGAUUUAUGUCAUGUGCGUACAUUAAGAAUUAUGUGCCGAUUUAUAUGUAACCAAUGAAAGUGCCCGCACAAAACAACAAGCGUGAAAAUUUCGCAUUAACUUUAAAAAGUAAUUAACUUUUUAAAAAAUUAAGAUGUUUUUGCAUAAGUAAUAAUUGUGUGAUUUGUCUAAUUUAUAACAAGAAUUAUAAUUUGUUUAAAAAUAAUAAUUUAUAAUCGUAUGGGUGAAUAUAAGAUCAAGUAUAAUUUUUAACAUAAAUGUAUUAAUGUAAUAGGCUGAAACUUUCUUUCGAGCUAAUUGUAAUCAAAUUGAUUACAAUAAUGCAAAAAUGGAAAUUAAAGGCUUCUAAACCUAAGUAGAGGUUUGAGAUCAGUCAUUGGGUCAUUUUGGAAGUGUGAGAAUAGAAAUAAAUGGGAUUGAAAUGGCUAGAGAACUUCAAUUGCCAUUACUGCUCUAUUGCUGAAAUUUUAGUCGAUUUGGUCAAAAUGGCCACAUUGAUGCCAAAUUUGAUAUGAAUUGCUUCCAAAUUAACUUGAUGGCUUGGAGAGCUUCUUUGGAUGAUUUUAGAUGUGCUCGAAUAUGAUCCAAGUAAAUUACAUGAGAGCAACAAGAGAUAUGAACACCUGCUGCGGAAAUGCUGAAAUAUUGAAUUAACUUGAUAAAAAAUGAUCAAGUUAAUGCAAAAUGGAGAAUUCAAUGCUUCCAAAUUAAUUUGGUAGCUUGGGGAAUGUUUUUGAAAGGUUGGAAUGAAAUUAUAAUGGGUUAGAAAUGAGAGAAAAUGAGUGGAAAGCAGCUGCUGAUGCUGCUGCUGUGAGCUGCUGUUGCUGCUGUCUGUACCGGUACAGAUUCUUGUACCGGUACAGCAAUUGCGGGCUGAUUGGACAGCAAUGUAAUUUCUCCUUUUUAAUGGAUCAAAAUGCAAUUUUUUAGCUCUUAUCUCUUCACUUUAGUGGAAUACACAUGUCCAAAGGCUGAGACCCCAUUUCCCUCUUCUCCUUAUCCUCUAAUUCCCUCUCUCUCUCUAAGCUAAGAAGAGUUGAAGGGAAUUGGUGCUGGCAGCUUUGGAGGCUUGAGGGCUGAAGUGCAAAUCUGAUCCCAGCAGUAAACUUCUGCUGAUUGGAAAUACUACAAGACCUGGAAAGCAUCUAAUCAAGGUAAGCUUGAUUACUAUUUUUUCUUAUAUAGGUUAGUGACUUUGAAAAGAUGUUUAUAUGGAUUUUGGUGUUGGCAGCUUGACGAAAUUGGAUUCUUUUACUGUUUUGAGCUGAGAACAACCUGUCAAAGCUUAAAUUAAGGUAAGCUUGAGUUCAUAUUUGAUUAGGAUCAAGUUACUUGAUUUAAAGAGAGUUGUAAACAACCCUAUUGCUGUCAGGAGUGACAGGAGUUGAAGCUUGACUGAUUUGAGUUGUCGAAUUGAGAAGUUGUUGUUGUUGAAGCUGAGGGCAAUCUGGUAGGAGCUUAAACUAAGGUAAAUGAAUUCAACACUCAGUUGAACCAAGUUAAUUACCUCUGAUGAGAGUAAUUAAGGUGUACUAACUGUAGGAAUUAAGUGGAAUUGCUGAAACAUCUUGGAGCAACAACUAAUCAAGCUGACAGCUUGAUGAAAUGAUGAUGUUGGUGUUGCCGAAAUGCAGGAAUGGGUCUUUGAUGCAGUAAGCAAGCAAUCCAGCAUCUGAUUAAGGUAUUCUUAAUCUAACAUUUGAUUAAAAUCAAGCAAAUGACCUUAAAGUUGAUGCUUACAUGACUCUGAUGCUACUGGUAGUGGCCAAAGUGAAGUGAAGACUUGUUAGUGCUGCCGAGUUCAUGAAUUCAGCUGAGAAGGUUUAGAACUUGAGGUAAAGACUUGAUCAUUGUUGGAAUUAAACAUUAUUGCCCCAAGACAGGAGUCUAAAGGAUUUAUUCCUGCUGAGAUUUAGAUUUGAAGUGAUCAAGUUGGUGCUGCCAGGAUCUGAUAUUGGACUAUUUGAAGUAGUAAGCUGAAAUCAAGUUGGUGAAUGGUACUUGGACAACGAAUUAGGGCUGCAGCUGGGCUGAAGUGGCUGUUCUUGGUGUUCGAAUUGAGGAGGGGUCUAGUAGAGCUUAAUUGCUGUUGGAAUUCGAAACAAGUAAUUAAAAGCUGAGCUUGGACUGCAACAGAGAGAGACCAAGUGGAAGCUUCAGCUGAGAGUAACUUGUUAAAGACAUUUGAUUGAGGUAAAUAACUUCAAUUUUAGUUGAAUAGAUCAAUUUUCAGCUUGAUGCUGAAAUCAAUUACUUGCAUUAGGAGCAUGUAUGCAAGUGUUGCUUGACUUGGGUAUUAACACUCUAGUGUUUGUGGACUGUAGUGAAUAGAUUUCAGCAUUGAAAUCUGCUACCUUGAGAGACAUAAUUCCAGAAUUCAGCUUGAGCUGAAAUUCAGUAUGAGAAAAAUAUAAUUGGAUAGCAGAUUGAGCUACCUUCAAUUAUGUUAUGACUAGUAGUUAGACUAGUUACUCUGAUAAAGUUCUAAGCAUAGAACUAAUUGUUCUAUACUUAUAAUGGCUGCACUAAAAGGAAACAAAAUGCUGAAAUUUCAGCCUAAGUAGAAUUUCAGCAUUGGGACUUUGGAGUGAAAAGGCUAACUUGUAAAAUAUGAGAAUGAGACUCUAGUUUAAUGUCUUUUGUUACCUUGUAAAUGAUAAUUAAACAUGUUCGAAAGUCUAAAUUGACUUUUCGACAGGUCGACGACGCUCUAAUUACGGUAGAGGCCGUUCCAGUUUUACUUGCAUUGAGUCGCGAAAGUUAGUUGUCGACGCAUUUCGAGACAUUGAUCUUAGUUGAUUGACACCACUACAGGUGGGUGGUGCUAUCCGAAAUCUUUGAAUCACCUUUUAUGUCUAUACUAUUCAUUGAGCAUAUUUAUAAUUAUUUAGUCAUGCAUUAUAGGGUAUUUGGUAUUGUGCAAGUGAAAAUGUGAAUAUCUAUCAACAGUGAGAACUUGUGAACUUUAGAAUGUGGACAUAGAACCCUAUGAAUGUAUGGACUAUAACAAUAGUGAACUUGGUGACAUUCUAACUAGAGGUUUGGUUAGCAUCGAGAAAUGAAUUUGUGAAACUAGCAUAAAGAACUAGUUAGAGUAAAGUGUGACAGUGUUUGUAGUUGAAUCCUCUAAAGGGGGAUCAGAUCAUACUCACAUUUGUUAGUUCAAGUGAGGUCGCUCCUCCUUGAACGAUGAGCUCCGGAGUAGUCAUCUUUACUGGACCAGGAGGUGCGUCUCCCCCAGUUGACGGUCCCAUCGGGUGUAGGUGCGUCUCCCCGAUAUUUGGGAUAGCGUCAGUGAGUAAUUGUUAACCAGAAGGUUAACCAAAAUGAAUUGGGUAAAUUCAGUAAAAGCAUGCAUGCAUAUUUACAGUUUUCAUAUAUUGCUUUCUUCCAGCUUUGUACAGGUAUUGUAGUAGUUACAUAUAUAGUUGGUUACUAUCUGUAUUACUUUUCUUGCCUACAUAUGCCUGAUUAGACCUAAUAGGUGAGUCGGCGAGGUCGGCGGCCGAACCCACUGAAAACUUUCUUGUAGUUCUCACACCACUAACCAUACAGGUUCCAGUGCGAGCGUUGUGGCCGAGGAUCGAGGCAAGAGCCCAGCAGCCUAGCUAGUGGACACCCGAGUUUUAGUGGUUACCAGUUUGAGUUCAUGUAUCAUCUAUUUCGAUGUACAGAGACAUGUAAAUGAAUGUAAUAAAGUGCAUGUAAAUAAUUAAAUGUUUCAGUUAUGCAAGUUAGUUUAAAGUUUUAAAUUACAGUGAAAUAUUAUGUUUAGCUAGCUUUACUAUCACUUGUGUUUGUUGCUUGCUAUCGUGCAAGCCAUGUAUAUUGAAAUGUGAUCCUGGGAAUUGUUUAUUUCUUUAUACAUGUAUUCGUUGUUGUUGAGCCUUGGGCGAACAGAGGAGGUGCUGUUCGUUCGGCGUCUGUGUACGGGCCCGGAUCGACCAAAUUGGCGAUAGCGGUCGGACAUUAAAACUAUCAUGAAGCUAUGAAAUUAUAUAUAUAUGUAUACAUAUAUAUAUAUAUAUAUACUACUAUAUAUGUAUAUAUAUAUAAUAUACAUCAUAUAUAUGAAUAUAUUAUAUAUCAUGAUCUAUAUAUUGUAUUAUAUAUAUUAUGUUAUAUAUAUCAUUAGUAUAUAUAUUAUUAAUAUACUGUAGUAUAUAUGUACUGUAAUAUAUGUAUGUUACUAUAUGCUAGUUAUGUAUGUAUAUAUAUGUAUAUAUAUAUGAUUAAUAAUUUUGUAUGUAUAUUAUACUGUAUAAUAAUAUUAUGUAUAUAUUAUGUAUAUAUAUGUAUAUAUAUGUAUAGUCUAUAUAUGUAUCCACUAUAUGUAUAUAUAUAUAAUACAUGUAUAAUUAUGUUAUAUAUAUAUAGAUAUAUAUAUGUAUAUAAUACGUAUAUAUAUGUAUGAUAUAUACGUACUACUAUAACAUAUAUAUACGUAUAUAUAAAUUAUAUCUAUAUAAUACAGUAUAUAUACAAUAUAUAUAUAUACAUAUAUAUACAUAUAUAUAUAUUAUAUUAUAUAUAUAUUAUGUAUGUAAUGUUAUUAUAUAUAUGUAGUAUAAAUAUAUAUAUAUAGGAUGUAUAUAUUUGACUGUAUUACAUAUAUAUAUAUGUAUGUAUAUAUAUUUUAUGUAUGUAUAUAUAUAUAUAUAAUGUAUGAUAUAUAUAUAUGUAUAUAUAUAUAUGUAUUAUAUAUACUAUAUAUAUGUAUUAUAUAUGUAUAUAUAAGUAUAUAUAAGUAUUUAAUAAUAUAUAUAUUGCUAUGUAUGAUAUAUAUAUAUAUAUAUAUAAUAUAUGUAUAUUAUAUAUAUUAUAUAUAAUAAUUGUAUGUAUACUCAUAUGAUAUAUCCUAUAUUUAUAUAUGUAUGUAUAUAAUAUAUUAUGUAUAUAUAUAUAUAUAUAUACUAUAUAUAUAAUCUAUUGUCUGUAUAUAUAUAUAUAUAUAUGGUAUGAUAGUAUUUAUAUGGUAUAUAUAUCAUAUAUUAUGUAGGUCUAUAUAUAUAUAUAUAUAUAUAUAUAAUAUAUAUAUAUAUAUAUAUAAUAUAUAUAUAUAUAGACUAAGCUAGAUACUUGUAAAAGAUCACCCAAUGAUACUUGUUGUUUUCGCCCUGAUGGAAGAUGAUUGACGGUUGAGAAUGAUUGGUGGUAGGUGUGGUAUGGAAUACAGUGUUUGCACAAGACAUUAGUAAUCAAACAAGAGAAUCCAAUGGCUAAAAACAUACAAGUAUCACUUGGGUAUACUGUAAAAAGUAUUCUAGCUCAACUCUGAUAUAUAUAUACUAUAGUAUAUAAUAUAUAUAAUAUAUAUAAUAUAUUACAAUAAUAUAUAUUAUAUAUCUAUAAAUUAAGACUACUAUAGCUAUUUCUAUAUGUACGGAGCUCCUACUCCAUAAGCUGUUUUGAUCUAGGCGCAUACAAAUCAACAUCCAUACCGUUAAAAUAUACAAGGUAUAUUAAGUUCUUAGGAAAUAAAAUUUAGUUUUUUUCUGAUAUCAUUACUUGUAAUAAUUAUGUUAAAUAGGACAGUCGAAAUUGAAUACCUUUUAAAAUUUAGCAUGAGACUUUUAAAUUCAAGCAUCAAGAAUGUAACCCUUAAUCUAUAUAGUUUAAAGAUUUCUUAUCAAAAUUUAAGAAAUUUUUAGUUCUUCACACAGUUAAACUCUCAACUCGUCAUCAAAAUAGCCAUUGAAAUUGACAUUUUGAAAUUGUUUGAUCAUAAAGUAAACUAUGUCGAAAAAAUAUAAAAUUUUAUUUCUAAAAACUUUAAAUACCCUAGAUCAGUUUUAACGGUAUGGAUCGUUGAUUUGAGCGCCCAAAGAUCGAAAACAGAACUAUAGUACCGGAGCUCCGGUACUAUAGAUAGUAUAGUAGCCUAGCUCUCUCUCUCUCUCUCUCUCUCUCUCUCUCUCUAUAUAUAUAUAUAUAUAUAUAUAUAUAUAUAUAUAUAUAUAUAUAUAUAUAUAGUCUGGCUACAAUGCUAUCGAUAGCAUCAAACGCUUGGUACUAUUAAAUUUUCUACCGUUAGAUCAACUUCUUUGACUAUUUUCACCCGUUAGAUUAUACUAUUGAACCUACCACCCACUCAACCCUAGGGGACCAUUAUCAUCAUAACCGUACAUCACUUCAUCCAACGGCCGAAAACUUAAUAAUACCAAUGACUUGGUGCUAUUAGUAGUAUUCUAGCCUAGUUCUCAAUAAAUAUAUCUAUAAUUCCUGGCCCAUUAAGUUUGUUAAAUUUUGUCUAAUUUAAAAUUAGUUAUGAUUAUGUGUUGUUAAUCGAGAUGAUAUUCAAUCAUUGAUUUUGGACUCUUUUGGCCGCUUGAUAAAUAAUAUUGAAAAACUAAACUGUAAAAUUUAUUUUUUAGUUAUUUCAUAUAUUUUAAAAAAAGUCUAGUCGAUCAUUGAUUUAGAAGUCUUAUUAUAAAAACCAAUUUUGAAGCAUGAAACUUGAUCUCUAUCCUUCUAAAAAGCACCUUAGUUGGAGUCCCAGUAACAAUAUAUUUGCAAGAAAGAUUACACAGUAGUUAAGCUGGUCUAAGGGCUUAACAAAUUAUAGAAACAAACAAAUUACAAUGAAAGGUAGACUCUAAUUGCAUCAAAAUAAUUUUCCCAGUUUCUUGGAAGCCGACCAAUGUAUCAUCUGCUUUACAUGCGAGAUCGAGUAUUAAUUGUUCUUUCUAGGUUUGAAAGAGAUGCCAAUCUAUGAAUAAAGCAGGUAUUUUACUACUUUUUUCUUUAAAAAAGAAGGUCAUGCCAAACGCUGGUGCAAAAAGUAAGUGGUUAAAAAAUAAGCAUAUUCAUAUAUAAUGAUGACAAAUUGCACCAUUGCAUGGAGAUAAGAUAAUCCCACUCCUAAUUAAAGAGCGCUACGUCGAAUUGAGAAAAUCAAAUUACAGUAAACGAUUAUUUUUCUUUUUUUUUUUUUCUGUUUUGUUUAUGAUACAAAUGACAAAACUACACUUCUAGCAGUAAAUAUGAUUAUUUAUUUUUAGGGACAAUAUCUAAUAUAUUUUUCAAAACUUUAAAAGUAUUUAAUAUACCUUUUAUUGACCAAAAUAUAUCCUAGCUCAUUGAUUUUCAAAAGGAUCUUCAAAUGUACCCAACAUUUUUGGAUUUGCUAAUGAGAUUUGAGAUUUAGAAGGACAUUUUGGAUAUAAAAGAAUAAAUUUAAUAAUUAUAAAUAGUAUUCAGGACGCGUUUGGUUCGCGUUAUUUAAUAUUACAAGUUGUUUUGACCAAGGAUUUAAAUGCCCAUCGGCACGGGUAGUAUUUAUCGUAUCGUAUUGUACCAUAAGAUAUUGGCACGAUACAGAUACCAUGCCGAUGGCACAGCAAAAAAUUCUCUAUUAUUUAAAUUAGAAAGUGAUUUUCUCAAUAAAAUUUUAAAAAAUUGAUAAAAAUUAUAAUAAACAGUUAGAAUAUUUUGUUGCUAAAGAAAAUAAAUAAAUUCAUGCUAUUAUAUGUCAGCACACAUGAAUUUUUUGUGACUGGCACAGAUCGGCACGGUCCGACACACACCGUGCCGUACCAUGCCAGCAAAUUUCCGUCACAACCCCGUACCACGGCACUUAAAUCUUUGAUUUUGACACAUCCAUAUAUCUUAGAUUUUUGAAUGAGAUUACUAUUGAUGCUGUAUUAGUGCGUUUGGCUUAAUGUAGUAAUGUAAUAGUGGAUUGUUUAUAAAACUAAGUAAUCCUCACAAGCCUAGUUCAUACUUUCAAUGAAUGAGAUCAACAUGCAUGUCAUGUUCUUGCAAGAUUUUUUGAUUGGUUGGUACAUAAUGGACCCUUCAUUUAUUUUAGUAACUUUUAUAACACAAAUGAAGAUCAUUGUAGAGAGUAUUAAGUUUAUUUUAAACAAAUAUAGUUUAAACUUCGUUAUAGAGCGUACUAAUUUUAUUUUAAUUAACCCAUUAAAUAGGUACAUUCUUAAUUUAUUGAAGCCAUAUCAUUUCACGAUUGGGGAAAUAACUUGCCAACAUAAGAACAAAUUGAAUAUUUGUUUGGUUUUUAUAAUCGUAUAUAUAUUCCCACAGUUUUGAUGAUAGAAUAUCUAUCACAUAAUAAGUGUAUUUAAUUAUACUGAUGCAAAACUAAGUAUUAUCUUCACAUUAAAAAAAAACCCUAUAUGCUCACUACUAACCGUUUGGCUUUUAUAUCUUAAUGAGUAACCAACGCUCUUUCUUACUUGUAAGUUUGUAAUAUAUGUAUAUGAACUAAAUUUUAUAACUUUUAAAUAAACAAAAUUUUUUAUGAAAUCUAAAAAAUACAUUUCAGAAGAAAAAAAACUAUUUUUUCUAAGAACCAAAUGAACAAAUAAUAUUUUUCUAUUUUUUAACAUAUUUUCUCAAAAAUCAAACAACUCCUUAGGGAAGAGACCAUAUAGUGAGCAAAGAGAUGAUGAUUUAUGACUACCAUAUCAUUCAUUGAUGAGAGUUGAGGCAAAGUAUUGGAGAAGUAAUUAGCUCAUCUAUUUGUCUACUAUACUAUUUCAGAGUUGAGGCAAAGUAUUGGAGAAGUAAUUAGCUCAUCUAUUAGUAGACCUGGUAAACGGGCGGGUUGGAUAACUCACGGGCGGGUUAUUGUACCCGCGGGUUACUUGGGCAUGAAUAAAAUUAACCCAUAAAUUUUUGGGUAGCCAACAUCAUUAUCCAUACCCACUCGCGGGUGGGCGGGUGGGUAUGUGGAUUACCUGCAAUUUUUUUUUUUUUACUUUUUUUCUCUUAUAUUUUUUAAAUGCAAAAUACAUAUAUAUAAGUUUUAAAAAUAUGACAUAACUCAUUAUUUAAAAUAUCAUAACAUAAAAUAAAGAUAUUUAAAGUCUUAGAGCUUAAAUUUGUAAUAUAAAAGACGCGAUAAGAAAUUAUAGUUAGAAUUUUUAAAAAGGAUAAAUAAAUAUAUAUGUAUUUUAAUUAAAAAAAAUAUAUUUUGUAAUUAAAAAAUGUGUGCGGGUACCCGUGGGUACCCGCGGGUUACCCAAAAUACCCACAGCUUAAUGGGUACCCACCCGUUUUACCCAUAAUUUUUUGGAUUGAAAAAGUUGGUACCCAUACCCGUAAAUUUGUGGGUAACCCGCGGGCAUCCGCGGGUAUGGGUCGAGAUUGUCAGGUCUAUCUAUUAGCUCAACUUUUGGCGAGACUUGUUGGAUAAUAUCUAUGCAAUUUUUUUUGCAGAUGCUUGCCUUAUUUAACUAUUUUGUUUUUUUUUGAGUUUUGAAAUAUUUUAUUUGGAAUAUGGGUUAGACAUAUGUGCAAUUUGCUUAACAAUUAGAGUUAUUAAUUAGUUGAAAUUAAUAUUUGUUUUUAAUAUUGGGUCUUAAUGUCUUCUGUAUUCAAAAUGUUUAUUUUUUAGACACGUUGGAGUGUGAAACAUGAUUUGUAACGGGAAACAUGGUUUGGAAUGAACAUGAUGUGUUAUUUACUUAACAAUUGGAGUUAUUAGUUAAAAUUAACAUUUGUUUUUAAUAUUGAGUCUCGAGGGUUUUGGUUGUUGAAGGAUCUAUUCUCUACACAUGCAUGUUAAGAUGUGGAACACAAUUUGAGACGAACAUGUUUGGGACGUGAAACAUAGAUAGUUCCAUUAGGAUGAUCAAGUUUGGGGGGCAUGAAACACGAUUCCGUUGCCAGAUGCAUUAAAUUAAACAAAGACUUGCAUUUUGUAUGUGAUUGCAACAUGUUAAUUAGGAUCAGAAGCAUACUUGGAUAGGUUCAACAAGAGGCUAUAUCCCUAAUGAAGAUAAGCAUUACAUACAUCCUUAACUUUGCCAAUCAACAGUCCAUACCAUGAUACCGACCGUCCCUAGAGCAAAUGGCAAAGGGCUUGGUGGUUGGUAUCCGAGACCUAAGUUCGAAUCCUAGUUGAUUCACAUUUAUAGCUAAGUUUAUUUUUAAAUGAAAUAAACGAAACGGGUAGCGUGCUACCUAUUUCUCAAAAAAAAAGAAAAAAAAAAGAAAAAAAAAGUCCAUACCAUGAUUAAAGAGAUGAUGGUUUAUGAUCGACUACUACGAUAUCAUUGACGACUCGACUUGGGAAAUUUUAGAAGUAAACUAAUCAAUUUAUUUUCGAACUUGACAUAAAUAACUUCUCGAUGCACUAAUUAAGGUAAGUAAACUAGUUAUUUGUAUGCAUUAAAACGAGAAAAUAUAUGUAAGUUGAAUUACUUUUUAUUUUGUACAUGAUUUACACACGAAUAUUGUUGGAAUCUGAUAUGUGGAUGUUAGAAUCCGACAUGUGGGAGUUGGAGCCUUAAUUGUUUUUUUUUUUGAGAGAUAGGUAGCACGCUACCCGCUUCAUUUAUUUUAUUUAGAAAUAAACUUACCUAGAAAUAUAAAUCAAACUAGAAUUCGAACUUAGGUCUCGGAUACCAACCACCAAGCCCUUUGCUACUUGCUCUAGGGAGUUGGAGCCUUAAUUGUUGUAAUGGAACGGAAGCCAAUUAUCUUGACUUAGUGCACUUUGUCUGGGACAGAUGGGCAGGAAGAAAGACAACACAACCGACCUCAACCGGACUUAGUGGACUUAUUGCCUGCUGGUGGGUCAUUUGGGACUUUACGAAUAGGGCGAUCUUUAGGAUGAUCCAGACUGACCCAAUAGUCGAUAUCUACAAAAUUAAACAACUGAUGGACUUGUGGAAGAAUCUUAAUACUGUGGAGUGACUGAUCUAUAUAGUUAACAAUUUUUUUUUUUUCGCCACACGUCGAGGCCUUUGCUGUCUCACCCAUGUAGUUUAAUUCAUUUUCUUAUUGAAUGAAAAAGGUAGCGUGCUACCUUUUUCUCAAAAAAAAAAAAAAAAAAACCAUGACAGCAUUGGAAUCGAGUACAUGAUCCGGUUGCAUCCAGAUGUAUAUUAAUAUUGUAGCUUGUACUGCAAUUUAUUUUAAUUUUGUUUUGUUUACUUACUAGUAACUAACCCUAUUGGCCUACCAUUUUAGAUCAAGUUCGAUCGUCAGAUCUCUUGAGAGAAUUAUUGGCGUAGUUGACUAGUUGGAUAAUAUAUGUACAAAUAUUUUAAUGGCACUUUCCUUAUUUACCUAUUUGUUUUGUUUUGUUUUGUUUUGUUUUUUGAGGUUUUGAAUUUUAUUUUGAACUAUUUUAUUUCGACUGUGGGUUAGACAUUCGUGCUAUUUGCUUAAUAUAUAAUUGGAGUUAUUAAUUAGUUGAAUUUAAUAUUUGUUUUAAUAUUGGGUCUUGAUGCCUUGUGUGUUCGAAGUAUUUAUUUUUUAGACACGUUGGAAUGUGAAAUAUGAUUUGUAAUGUAAAACAUGGUUUGGGAUGAACAUGAUGUAUUAUUUACUUAACAAUUGGAGUUAUUAGUUGAAAUUAACAUUUGUUUCUAAUAUUGAGUCUGAAGGAUCUAUUCUCUAAAUACAUUGGGGUGUGGAACACGAUUUGAGAUGAACAUGUUUGGGACGUGAAACACAGUUUCAUUCGGACAAUCAGGUUUGUGGAAGAAGCAUGCUUGCACAUGUUCAAGAAGAGGCCAUAUCCUUAAUCAUGAUAAGAAUUACAUACAUCCUUAAAUAAGUCCAACAAAAGUCUAUAUUGUGAGUAAAUAGAUGAUGGUCUAUGUCUACGUACCAUAUCAUUGCCGAAAUAACUUGGGGUAUUUCAGAACUAAACCGAUCUAUUUAUUUUCUUGGACUUCACACACAGACCAUAAAAAGAAAAAACUUUUCUAUGCGUUGAGAUACAACUUGUAUAUGAUCUGUUCUUUAAAUAUAUUGGAACGUGAAAUACGAUUUGAAUCGUAUAUGAUUUGUGUCGAACAAGUUUGGAAUGUCAAACACCAUUCGGCGGCAAGGUUCGGGGGGUGAAACAUGAUUCGAUAGCGGGAUGUGGGACAUGAAACAUGAAUCGGCUAUCGGCAAAUAUUCGUGUCGAAUAGAUUUAGAAUGUACAACGCCAUUCGACAACGAGAUUUGGAGCGUGAAACAUAGUUCGGCGGUGGGAUUUGGGGCGUGAAGCACAAAUCCGUUACAGACCAAACAUCUUUGUCGGAUAGGUAUGAAAUAUAAAGCACCAUUCGAAGGCGAGAUUUGGAGCAUGAAACACAAUUUGAUGGCGGGAUGUGGGACGUGAAACACGAAACCGGUACCGCCAAAACACACGUCAAAUUAAGUAGCGAUUGAUAUGUUGGAUAUUAUUAUGAUUGUGACGUGUCAAGAGAAGCAUUCCGAGGCCUUCCAGGUGUAAGGAUCACAUGCGUGCAUUAUCAAUUUUCCAACGUAAAAUUAGUGUCUACGUACGGGUGAAACCUUACCGAGAUAAGACAUGUAUUGUAAAUAUCCCACCCAAUUCAUCCGAUUCCGUAUAGCAAUCCACAGCAUUUGAAAAUAAAUAGCCAACAAAUGGUAAUUAAUUAGAUUACUUAGUGAGCAUGCUUGGUCCGCCCAUUUUUUUACUCUGGAAUCGAAAUGUACGAAUCCGUUUGUCCGUAUUUGGUAUACGGGAUUUUCAUUUCGAUUUCAAUUUUCGGGUGAACGAGAAUCUCCCCAAUUACCUCUUUUUCCAAUCCGACCUAGAAGGCCGGAUUGAAAAUUGAAUUCAGGCAAAAUGAAUUUAUUUGGAUUAAAUUUAACUUUUUAAGCUUAUUUUUUAAUUAAAAUAUAAGUUUAAGUUUAAAAAUUAUAUUUAUAAAUUUUAAUUUGAACUUAAAUUAAAAAUUAAAAUUCAAUCAAGCAUUUUGAAAUCUAAUUUAUAAAUUUGAAUUUAAAUUUAAAUUUAAUUAAAAAUCUAAAAUUUUAUUUAAAUUUUAUUUAAAAUUUAAAUUUAAUUUAUGGAUUCAAAUUGAAACUUAAAUUAUACUUUUAAGUUUGAAUUUGAAUAAAUCAAAAUUUAGUUUUAUAUUUUGAAUUAUCCAUUCAAUUUCAAAUUUUUUAAAAAAUAUAUUUAAAAUUUUGACAUCAUUUUAAAAUUUGAACGCAAAUUUUUAAUAUUUAAUUUUCAGUUUGAAUUUAAAUUAAUAUAUUAUAAAGAUAAAAUUGGCAUAUUAAUUUAAUUACUUGUCUAAUAUUGAACCAUACACCGGCAACGGACCGAUUCAGGUGGCGAACCAAACAGAAUGAGAUAAUGAAUCAUUUCAAUUCAGUUUCCUGCUUUUUCCCAAUCCGAUUCAUCUCUUCUUAUCAAUUAUUCUUCUUUUAUCAAUUUCCUCUGCUCUUUUAAUUCUUAAAACAUUUAAUAUUUUUAAUUGAUAGAAAACCUCUCCUACACUUGAAUAUAGUAAAAGAUAUUCACCCAUUAACAGAUUCGCUUUGCACCACCUGACAGUUUUUAUUAGUCUUUUUAAUAGCUUAUUAUAAUUGUUUUCCACACAGAACAAGCGCACCACCGCGGAGGAUUGCUGCGGACUGCUGCUGCUUGCCUCUGGGUGUGGUCGGCCUGCAAACGCGUCNUAUAUAUAUAUAUAUACUAGUUGAGUGUAUGUGCAAAUGCACGUAAUAAUUUUAUUAAUUUAUUUCAAAUAGGGAUGCAAACGGACGGAUCUGGGCUAUUUUAUUUAACUAAAUAAAAUAUUAUACUAAAUUAAUUUAAUAGCUCUAUUAGAUAUAUAAUAGCCAUAGAUUAUUAUAAUUUUAUUUACAAAAAAUUUAAAAAUUAAAAUUAAAUCACUGACUGAGUUACUUAUAGAUUUAGUAAAAUUUCUCAAGUUAUUUGGAUAGAAUUAUACAAAUAAAAUAAUUAUAAACUAAUCAAGUGUAAAUCAAAAAAAUAAAGUUAAUAUUUUUUUUUACGUUAAUUAUCUAAUCAAAAAAAAUUUAUUAAAAAAUUGAAUAUAUAGGUGCGUAAAAUCUUAUUUAUCCACCAAAAUUUUUAUUCGUAUCUAUUUUGACCCCCUUCUUGAUUGAAUUCUGGCUUCGUCCGUGUUGUCGACGAAUUUGAGGACUUCUCCGAUGAUCAAACGAGAUGGGUUCCAUAUAUGAGGAGCAAUUAAUGGUGUUGGAUAGCCAGAGGACGUACUUGACAUGCAGUUCGUAAGAAAAGUUCUCGAUGCAUAUUUGAUUGGAUCGGAUUCGGGUAUGUAUAUUGAUACUGUAGCUUAUUGUGCUAUUUAUUUUCAGCUAUUUUUGUUUACAUGCUCACUAGUAGCUAGCUAGCUCUAAAUAUGUCUAUCAAUAUUAAUUUCAGCUCUGGUUCGCUAGGCGUGAACUGACUCAGUGAAUUACUAGGGCAGAUCUAGCUGAAUAGUUAGGUGAUAUCUGUGCAAAUUUAUAGACCUUAAUUUGACUACUUAUUUACCUAUUUGUUUAUUUGUUGAGUAUUUAAUUUUAAUUUUGAACUAUUUUAUUCGGACUAUAUAUGCGUUUAAUCGGAUGUGCUAUUUACUUAAUAAUCGGAGGAGUUGGUGAAGUUUAAUAUUUAUAUUUGAUGUUGGGUCUUGAGGCAUUUUGUGUUUGAUGAACUUAUUCUUUAGACUGCACGAUAAGUAUAAACAUGUAUGAGGCAUGAAAUACUGUGCCACUUGGGGCGACUAGGGUGGGAUGUGAAACACGAUUUCGCUAGGAGCCAAAAACACAUUAAAUUAGAUAAGCACUUUGAUAUUGUAUAUAUAUAUAUAUAUAUAUAUAUAUAUGAUUGUAACAUGUAAUUAAGGUAAGCAGUGAAUGCGUAGAUUCCAAGGACUUUCAGAGUGUGGCAAUAAAACAAUAUACACCUUUCGUAUUCUCACCUAGGAGGACAUGCAUGGUCAAUUUUCCCACAUGUGUGAACGGGCGAAGCCUUAACCAGAUGAAGAUGUGUGCUCUUUCGUGCCAGAUGGAGUUGUUAGUUGUCUUUGAUGUUUGGUCUUGAGGCCUUUCGUGCUUGAAAGAUCUAUUUUUUAGACACAUUGGGAUGUGAAAUAUAAUUUGAGCCGAACAGAUUUGGAGCGUGAAACACGAUUUGUGUCGAACAGGUUAAUUUGGAAUGUAAAACGCCAUUCGACAGCGAGGUUUGUGGCGGGAAACACGACUCGGUGGCGGGAUUUGGGGCGUGAAGCACGAAUCCAUUACAGGCCAAACAUCUGUGUUGAAUAGAUUUGAAAUGUAAAAUGCCAUUCGACAGUGAGGUUUGGAGCGUGAAACACGGCUCAGUGGCGGCAUUUGGGGCUUGAAGCACGAAUCUGUUACAUGCCAAACAUUUGUGUUGAAUAGAUUUGAAAUGUAAAACGCCAUUUGACAGUGAGGUUCAGGGCGUGAAACAUGGCUCGGUGGCGGCAUUUGGGGCGUGAAGUACGAAUCCGUUACAAGCCAAACAUCUGUGUCAAACAGGUUAAUUUGAAAUAUAAAACACCAUUCGACGGCGAGGUCUAGAGCGUGAAACACAGCUUGACGGCAUGAUCGGUGACGUGGUUUUACGAAAUCGUUAUCAGCCUAACAGACGUCAAAUUAAGCAGCGAUUGAUAUGUUUGAUAUGAUUGUGACAUGUCCAGCUGAGAAGCAUUCCAAGGCCUUCCAGGUGUAAUUAAGGACGACAUGCCUUGCCAAUUUUCCAACCUAAAUGAGUGUGUACGUACGUAGGGGCGAAACCUUAACCAGCUAAGACGAGUGCCCUUAUAUUCCCUUUAAUAAAUACCCACAGUGGGUCAUCAUAUCCCUCAGAGCAAGCAAUCCGCGUCAUUUUUUAGAGCAAAUUAAUUAACAACCAAUUACAAUUAAUGGUGAUUCAUUAGAUAAAUUGGAUUAACUGGAGCCUAUAUAAUUAGUUAGUUGUAAUAUAAUCUGCGUAUGUAUACUUGUAAUGUCCGAAUACUAAGAUUUAGCAUGUUUCGGAUAGACAGAGAAUUUAGGAUUGCAAAAUGAUUGUUAUAUAUGAUGAGAAAAUAGGACAGAAAAAUAGUUUUGUAUUCUCUUACAAUACCUAUUAUUUUUUUGGAUCCCUCGAAAAUUGGAGAAGAAUAUUCAUUUUUUUUUAUUGUAACUCUAUUUUGUUUAAUCAUGUUAGGCGACUCUUAAUACCAAAUCAUGCCAAAAGUAGAGAAGAGCUGUUUAUCCAAAAACUUAGAAAAUUUUCAAAUAUUCAUAUAUUUAAUCCAACUAUUACAUUCAAAACUAUGUCCUUAAUAUCCACAAAUUUAUAAUUCGAUUUAUUAAAAAUCUAAUUAAAUAUUUAUUUUUCUGAAUUCUUACAUGAUCGACCAAUUUUUACAUUUUAUCAUAUUUAUCGUUGAAUAUUCGAAGCACCUAAUUAAUUAAGACGGAAAGGAACGGGAAAGAAAAAACAUUACAGAAGCCGAAUGAUCCCACAUUAGUAGAAAUUUUACAUUAGUAUCGUAGAAGGUCAGGUUCAUCGGAUAAUUUUUGUUGAUUCAAUUAUCAGAGGUCUAAAUUAAUUCUUAGAUAGAGAUCAACAUGUAUGUUUUUUGAAGAUAUAUUAAUUGGUUGGCGCCUAACAGUCCUUUCAUUUAUUUUACUAACUUUAUAAAAAAAAAUCAAUAUCACUGUAGAGAGUAUAAAUUUAUUUUAAACAAAUAGAGUUUAAAGUGAAAAUUUUUUUGUAAAAAUUCAAAAAGUACUAGCGCAAUAAAUUAACCCUUUCUGCUCCUUAUUCAAGCCAUACCAUCUCACCAUUAAUUGGAGAAAUAACUGACCAACAUAUGACCAAAUUUAUAAUUUCGACCACAUAAAUAUAUGGGCUGAUACAAACUAACAAUAUCCCCAUACAAAUAAAGAAAAAAAAAAAAACAAUAUAUAGCUAAAAAAGCAAUUAAAACCUGCUGUCUCUCUCUAUAUAUAUAUGAAAAGUGACUUUUGGCUAAAAAAUAAUUUUCGGCUCAAUAAAAUGUUUGACAAUAUCGUUUUCAAAAUAUAAUUCUAAUUUUUAGAAUCAGUUUUUUAAUUUUUGAAGCCCAAAAUUAAAAGCAACUAAAACCUAUUUCUUAAAAUCUGAUUCUGAUUUUGGACUCAAACUUUAAAUUUUUAUUUUUAUUUUUAUUUUAUAUUCAAAUUUUAAAUUUUAAUUUUAAUUUUAAAUUUAUAUUUGAAUUUUUAAUUUUUAAAUUUUAACUUUUAAAUUUUAAAUUUUAUAUUUUAAAGAAAGAGAGCAUAAUUAAAGAAAUAGAAAGAGAAAUAAAGUCGAGAUUAGAGGGAGUGAGAGAGUUGAUAUUUAAAAAAAAAAGGGGGAGAGAGAGCUUAAUUAGUUUAGAGAGAGAAAAAGAGCUGAAGUUUAAAGAGAAAAAAAAAGUUUAGAGAGAGAUGUGAGGUUAGAGUGUAAAAUAAAAUAAUACCCUAGUCGGUGGGUAGGAAGAAAGAAAGAGAUUAAACAUAAUUAAUAUGAGGAUACCCAUCCCCCUCAAGGAAAUGAGAUUAGUACUCUGGGAUAAAUCUCAUUUCCAAGUAAAUUUAAUAUUACCAACUAUAUUACUUAUGCGUUUAGUCAAGCAGCGUCAUAUUUUUUUAUUUCUAUUAGAUUACUUAGAAUCGUAAAAAGAUAGCGCAAGCCAAACGCACCCAUGUAGAUUUACUAUGUGAUCUUUCCACAUCAAUAAAUGAGGGUAGCAUCUGUGUGUUAAGUAUUCUUUAAUUAUGUCAGUUUGUGGUUGAUGUAUAGUGUAGUAAAUUUUAAAAAAAUAUAUCUGAACAGAUUGGAAAAAAUAAGACAGUCACCUUCAUGCUAGAAAUUUUUUAAUAGAGAAUUUUUAAUUAUCAAGAUUAACUACCAAGAAAUUUUUUUAUUUGUUUUAGGGACUAAAUUGCCCAAAAAAUUAAAAUUGACUAGAAAUACAAUUAUCUUAUGAGAUAAUUUUUAUUUUAAUUUUACUUAGGCUAAAAUAUCGAAAAUCUCUUUAUAAAUAUCUACUUUUUUACUUUUCCUUCAUGACUUUCAAAAUUUUAUGUUUUGCGCCCUUAAAAUUUCAAAAAUGUUUUGAGAUGGUACGAUGUUAAUGGAGAAAACAAAAUGACCAAAUUGCCCUUAUUUCUUUUAUAUCGAAAAAAUAAUUUUUUAACAUAUUUUUGUUACUUUGAAAAAUAUUUUUGAUAUAAAUUAUAAGAAAUAAGCAAAAUAGCGAUAAAAUACAACAACUUGAAAUGUUGAUGGGGUAAAAUAUAAGUUUUUGACAAUUAAGAAGAAAACGUAAAAAAUAAAUAUUUAUAAGAAAUUUUUUUUGUAAUGUAGCAUUUUAUUUAAGAGGAGAAUAAGACGCAAACAUCUGGGUCCAUCGUCAACCACGAGACACCCAACAGUAUGGAACAAUUCAAACACUACUAUAAAACGAGCUCGGCCCCUCAGCACGAGCGUAAACUCAACCUACACUAAUCUGAGUAUCUACUACGCACUAACAGCGAUGAUACCAAAGAAUAACAGCUCCUGAAGCUAAAUUUGGUAACUUUUCAAAAAGUGACAGUGUAGGUUUAACGAGUUUUCUCCUAAGUCAAAUCCCAGUUCAGAAGAUAUACUUCAUCUAAAAUUACUAAAUAAUGCUCCAAAUUCAGAUUUCAUAUAAAACAUGCAAAUUUAUAAAUUCGAGCUACUAAACAUGAUAAACAAAGCCAAGAAUACAUUCUAACAAUUCUAUGACUUAGAAGAAAAUCCGACGAUUUUCAUAAACAUUAACCCACCUUGAACGCUACUUUGAACGCUCGUCCAACGUCGGCUCGAAGUCGAUAGGAGGACCCUCGUGCUAACUUGACCUCCAACGGCCUCAACCGGACUCCACCACAGCACACAAGUGAACCCCCAAGACGACGAGAAGAAAUAUCAGCUCAUUCUUCAAGCUCCCAACGAGGAGAGAAAAGAAACUAGAGAGAGAGAGAGAGAGGAGAAGCUAACCAGAGUUCUCCACCUUCAGGCACAAAGAGGGAAGGCCGGGGGUCGGUUGUACUUAUCGACAAUCAAAAAGAUCAAAAUAUCCCUUACCAACUCAAUUUGCCUUUUGGAGUACCGGUACUGAACUUGGGUACCGGUACUCGGCCAUCUUUCAUCAAUCUUACGCGAUGGGUACUAGUACUAGCCCGAUGCGGUAAUGGUACUCAGUUCCAGUACCGGUACGCACCAACAGGUAUCGGUACUCGGCAUCAAAUUGCGCAAACCCGAUAGCAUUCACUUCUGUAAUCCCUCUGGGGUACCGGUACUCAACACUGAAAUCCUGCACUUUACAGAUUCAGUGUCAGAAUUUCAUUCUCGCACUGUGCCGAGUCUAUUUGCAUCCGAUUCGCGCCAAAACGACUCUGACUUGUCCCAACACCCACCAGACAUGUCAACAAGCCACAGAUGUUGAAGUCUCUCAGACAGCUAAACUCCAGGGACACUACACUAAAAAUUAAAAUUUAAAAUUUAAAAAUUAAAAUUUGAAAUUUAAAAAUUUAAAAUUAAAAUUUAAAAUUUAAAAUUUGAAAAUUAAAAUUUAAAAUUUGAAAAUUGAAAAUUAAAAUUUGAAAAUUAAAAUUUUAAAUUAUAAUAUUAGAAAAUUUGAAAAUUAAAAUUUAAAAUUUAAAAAUUAUUCUUUGAAAAUUAAAAUUUAAAAUUUAAUAUUCAAAAAUUAAAAUUUGAAAUUAUANAAAUUUUUGGUAUUUAAAAUUUAAAAUUCAAAAUUUAAAAUUUGAAAUUAAAAAUUUGAAUAUAAAUUUAAAUUUUAAAAUUAAAAUUAAAAUUUCGUAUUAAAAUUUUAAAUUUUAAAUUUUAAAUCAAGGUUGAAAUUUAAUAUUUUAUGUUGGAAUUUAUAAUUUAGAGCUUGAUACAUCUUUGGGAUUAGGGAGCCCAAAAAUGGUGAAAUUUUUUUCCUUUGAUUAGAGUAGAUAAUAAUUUUACUCAUUUGUUUCAAGUAUAGUUUAACUAUACUCCAAAAAUAACAUCAAUUUUUUUCUUCUAAACGCUUCACAGGAUAAUUUUUCUGCCAGUGUAGCAUAGUUAACUAUACUAUGUUUUUAUGAGUAUCCAAACGAGGCUUAUAUGUUUUCUGAUUCCGUAGAAAAAUUGGAGAAGAAUAUUUAUCUAUGCUUUUACUAUAACUCUGUUUUGUUUAAUCGUGUUUGGUAACUCUUAAUACCAAACAUGCCAAAAAUAGAGAAAAGUCAUAUCCAAAAAUUAAGAAAAUUUUCAAAUGUUAAUAUAUCUGAUCAAAUUAAUAAUACCAAACGCUUGAUGUCAUUAGGUUUUUGACCUUUGGAUGAAGGGAUUUACGUUAAGAAAGAUAGUGGUCCCCUAGGAUUAAGUGAGUGGUUGGUUGAAUAGUAUGAUCUAACAGAUAAAAAUGGUCAAAGAAAUAGAUCUAACAACGAAAAACUCAAUAAUACCAAGCGCUUGAUACUAUCGAUAGUAUAGCAGUCGGACUCUCUCUCUAUAUAUAUAAUCGAGCUCCUAUGCUUUUAAAAGUAUCAAGUUAUUAGUGUUUGUAGAUUUUCGACCUUUGGAUUAAGAGAUAUGUGGUUAGGAUGAUAGUGGUCCCUUAGAAUUGAGUGGGUGGUUGGUUAAAUAGUAUAAUAUAAUAGAUGUGUCACGCCCCGAAUUACUCGUUUCCCCAGGCAAGCUAACAGACCCGCCGUAUAUAUAGAAAUUUUUCCUGUAUACGAAGCGAAGCUGUACCUGUACCUGUAAUCAUACAACACUACAACCAGUAGUAUAGAGCUGCUAAAAGAAAACAUAUAUAAUAACAAAGGUUUACUAUACAUACAUAAAAUUCUGGUAUAUAAAACGCUCGCUCCAGCGAAAUAUAAACAUCAGUAUGUAUAAAAAUAAAAAACUACAACUACCUGUAACUGGUAUGCUCUAGAUCAGCAGCAACUGGGAAGGGAUCUAACUCGCAACUCCCUUUCCACGAUAAGUCUCCACGACAGCAGUAGUCGAAGAAGAAGGCUCCGCAAAAGAUUCACAACUGGGCGUGAGAACUACUGCAAAAUGAAGUAGUCCUCAGUGGGUAACGCUACCGACCUCAACGGCUCACCCAUUAAGUCUACAGAUGAUAUGCUCAAUGAUAGUAAAGAUCUGGAAACAAUCUACAGCUAUAUGUCACUAUACUCUCAUGAUCCAACACUGACUAUCUGUAAAAUAAGUCAAGCUCUGACCCAAUCUUACUAGGUACUGUGAAUACAUCCGUCCCGCCUGUUGAAGCUAUACAACUACCUCCACGCUCAGCCAUCCGUGGAGAGCAAGUCCAACCAGGACACAACGAUACCAACGCAAACGCACAAAGCCCGACUUCGAAGUGGCACUCGUGGGCGCUACAAGCAUAUCUUUGUCGAGCUCAAAUCAGGCUCUCACAGGCUAUAGUCAAGUAAAUAGGGUCUAACAACCAAACUCACGUGCCAUCGACACAAUCUGAUGCAAAACAGCAAUCUGGGUCUACCGUCAACCUCAACGGUGCCCGACAGUCCGGAACAACUUAAACACUGCUGUAAAAAUAAGCUCGGCAUCUCAGCACGAGCAUAAAUGCAUUCUACACUAUCCAGGGUAUCCACCGCCUACAAACUGCGGCGAUACAAACAAAUUACGGCUCCUAAAGCUAAAUCUGGUAGUUUCAGAAUAUGACGGUGUAGAAUCGGUAGUUUUCUCCUAAGUCAAUUUCAAAUCCAACAUGUAUCAUUCAGCUAAUAUUCUAAGCUCCAAAUUCAGAUUCCAAAGCAUGCAAAUCAAAGAAUUGAGCUACUAACACGAAGAAUAAAGCUAAAACACAUGCUAACAACAUAUAGGCUUAGGAGGAAAUCCGCAAAUCCCAGUAAGCAUCAUUAACCCACCUUUAGCGCUAAUCCACAGCAGCAAGAGAUUGCGAAGUCACUGGAAGAACUCAGCCGAGACUACCCCGAACCAGCUACAAGCACUCUAUGGGUCUGCACACAAAAACCACCAAAACUCCAUCAAUAAUCCAAAAUUCAGCACUUAACCUUAAAAUAGCCUCAAUUUCAAUGUCAACUUCACUUUUCAAUCUUCAAAUCAGGUGAGAAAAGGUCUCAAAUCCAGUGAAUUAUGAUGGAGUAUCAAUCUCAGGUUGCAAAUCCAGCUCCCUCCAAGAAUUGGUCCAAGAAAACCAAAGAAAACUCAAUUUUAGGUCCAAAACACCAGCAGCUCAGGAAAAUAUGAAAUUGACUAAACAAACCUCAAUAAAUUUUUGUCGAAUUUGUUCCACAAAAUCUCCAAGAAGUCCUCUAACCACCAAACCAAGUUCGCAGCAAUCCAAUCCUUCUACGUCGCACACGAGCCAAAACGCCGGAAGUCGCUGCUGGAAUUCUACAGAAACCGCAGUCCUCGAGCUUCAAAUUGUAGAAUUUGGAGUGAUUUGAGGGGCUAAGAUGCAAAAUAUAGCUUCUCUGUGAAGAAGGGAUGAAAAGGCUUCUCAGGGGUCGAAUACCAGCUAUUUAUAGGGAGAUGAGAGGAUAAAAUAAGCCUCAGAAACAAGAGCUGUCAAUCUGCUGUCCUGCAGGAACGGGCACUUUCGGGCGCCCGAAACCGUGUUCUGGGCGUGUGAAUCCUCCAGGCUACACAAAGCUCUCACUUCGGUUCCUCCGCCCGCGGUGUGCUGCGCCUAUAUCCUGGUCCGGCGGACCUCACCUACCACCAGCCACGUGUCAGCGCAAACGAUACUCCCAAGGUGAACUUUCGGACCCACAACUGGGUGCCCGAAACUAGGAUCCGAAUUGGCUACCAGUUCUGCUCAGUUCAAUACUCGAGUUCUGGGCGACCCAAACCCUGUUCUGGGCGCCCGAAACUAGCAAAACUCCAGUUUUGCUCCUUUGAGUGCGCUAAGUCCAUUUCUGCAUCCAUUUCGUGCAGAAACGACUCCGACUCAGUUCGACACUCUCCAGAUGUGUCGACCAGUCACUAAUACUGUAGCCAAUCCUAUCCAAACCUCCGAAACACUACAGGAUGAAAAUGAUUAAAUUGGUAGAUCUAACGGUGAAAAAUUUAUAAGCACUAACUUCUUGAAAGCACCAUAGACAGACUCUCUCUCUUUCUCUAUAUAUAUAUAGAACUAGGCUGGAAUACUAUCAAUAGCACUAAGCUAUUGGUGUUAUUAGUUUUUUAGUUCUUGGAUUGAGAAAUGUGCGGUUAUGAUGAUGUGGGCCCCUAGGGUUGAGUGGGUGUGGUUGGUUGAAUAGUAUAAUCUAACAGAUAAAAAUAAUCAAAGGGUUAAAUCUAACGGCGGAAAACUCGAUAGCACGAAGAAUAGUAUCUCAGCCGGACUCUCUCCCUCUCUCUCUCUCUCUUCUCUCUCUCUCUCUCUCUCUCUCUUAUAUAGAGUAUAUAUAUAUACUAUUAUACUAUAUAUAUAUAUAAUAUAUAUAUAUCUAUAUCUAUAUUAUAUCAAUAUAUCUAGAGUAGGCACUCAUACUCUAUGAGAUGUUUAGCCUUCUACUCAUCAGUUGUUUUCGAUGAUUUGGCUUCCGAUAUCGACGAUCCACUCGUUUAAAUAUGAUCUAGAGAUUUGAAACUUUUAAAAAAUAAAUUAUUGUAAUUUUUCGGAAUAUCAUAAUAAAGUCAUCAAACGGAUAAAAUGAAUAGUCAAAAUCGACAACAACGUUUCUAAAAAUAGAUGAUCGGAUCCUUCAGAUUUAAGAUACGAAGUUAUUGAUCUUUAUCUAGAUAGUGAAAUAGAUUUUUUAUCAAACUUUAAUCUAUUCCAAUUCUUUUACACCGUUAAACUACAGUUAUCCCAUACCGGCCGUUAAAAAUUAUCAAUUUUUUGAGCUUUUGAUCGCUAAGGUAAAGGGAUGUUGAAAGAAAUUAUAAAAUUUAUUUCUAGAAACUUUAAAUACUCCUAUCGAUAUGUUUUAACGGUAUGGACUCGUCGACUUCGAAGCUCUAAUCAUCGAAAACAACUAUGAGUACGAGGCGAUCGUACUCAUAAGAGUAUAGUGCCGUACGCUACUAUAUAUAUUAUUAUAUAUAUAUAUAUUAUAUAUUAAUAUAUAUAUAUAUAUAUAUAUAGACCUACGCUGGAAUACUAUCAAUAGCACCAAGCAUUUGGUGCUAUUAGGUUUCCGGCCCUUAGAUUAAAAAAUGUACGGUUAGGAUGAUGUGGGUCCUCUAGGGUUGAGUGAGUUGUUGGUUUAAUAGUAUAAUCUAACGGGUGAAAAUAGUCAAAGGGUUAAAUCUAACAGCGGAAAACUUGAUAGCACUAAAUGCAUAGUUCUAUCGAUAAUAUCCCAGCCGAACUCUAUAUAUAUAUGGCUGAGGCUACUAUACUCUUAUGAGUAUAGACCCCUGGGGCUACUAUACUCUUAUGAGUAUAGACCCCUUUAUACUUAUAAAUUUUUAACUGUUAAUUGAUGGGAUGUGUGGUUAGGAUGAUAGUUGUCCCCUAGGGUUGAGUGGGUAGUUAGUUAAAUAGUAUGAUUUAACGGAUAAAAAUAAUUAAUGACAUAAAUCUAAGGGCCGAAAAUUUAUGAGUAUACGAGAGCCAAUACUCAUAAAAGUAUAGUAGCCGGACUUUAUAUAUAUAUAUAUAGAGCAGGGCUACUGUGCUAUUAGGAGCACAGUAGCUUUUAUGCUCUUAACUCUCUAACCACCCAUCAAGUUUGAUGGGUGGUUAGAAUGAGAGAGGGAAGAGAUAUUGGAAAGAAAUUAGGUGUCUCAAUUUCUCUUUUUGUUGAAUUUCUCUUUAAUAUCUCUUCCCCCUUUUAUUCUAACCACCCAUCAAACUUGAUGGGUGGUUAGAAAGUUAGGAGCACAAGAGCUGGUGUGCUCCUAAUAACACAGUAGCCCUACUAUAUAUAUAUAUAUAUAUAUAUAUAUGUAUAUAUAUAUAGAGUGAGGCUACUAUGCUUCUGGAAGCAUAGAGCCUUCCGUGCUUCCGGGUCGUUUUCGACGUUGCAAUUUUCGAAUCGUCAAUCGGCUCCAUUAAACUUGAUCUCAAGUAUUUGAAGUACUUAGAAAAUAAAUUUUAUAAUUUUUCGAUAUCAUUUGCCUAGUGAUCGAAGGGGCUCAAAAUCAAUAAUUUUAAAGGCCGUGGUGAGCCGUUUGCAAGUUUAACGAUGUAGAAAUAUCCAAAUCACGUGAAAUUUGAUAGAAAAUUCUUUAUACUAUAUAAAAUAAGAUCAAUAUCUUUGAUCUAAAAUUUUAAUGUUAUAUUAUCACGUUUUGUAAGAUUUUUAUUUUCAGCCGUUAAUUUUGAGCCCUUUAAUUCACAUAGGCAAAUGAUAUCGAAAAAUUGUAAAAUUUAUUUUCUAAGUACUUCGAAUACUCUAGAUCAAGUAUAACGGAGUCGAUCGACAAUUCGAAAAUCGCAGCAUCGAAAACGACCUGGAAGCAAGCUCCGUGCUUCGAGAAGCAUAGUAGCCUCACUCUAUAUAUAUAUAUAUAUAUAUAUAGAGGGAGGCUACUAUGUUUCUGGAAGCAUGGAGUCGUUUUUCAUGUUGCGACUUUCGAAUCGUCCAUCGGUUCUGUUAAACUUGAUCUAGAGUUUUUGAAAUACCUAGAAAAUAAAUUAUGCGAUUUUUCGAUAUUAUUUGCCUAGUGAACGAAAGGGCUCAAAAUCAACGGCUGAAAAUAAAAAUCUUACAAAACGUGAUAAUAUGACAUUAAAAUUUUAGAUCAAAAAUAUUGAUCUUGUUUUAUAUAGUGUAAAGAAUUUUCUAUCAAAAUUUCACGUGAUUUGGAUAUUUCUAUACCGUUAAACUUGCAAACGGCUCACUACGGCCAUUAAAAUUAUUGAUUUUGAGCCCCUUCGAUCACUAGGCAAAUGAUAUCGAAAAAUCAUAAAAUUUAUUUUCUAGGUACUUCAAAUACUCUAGAUCAAGUUUAACGGAGAUGAUCGACGAUUCGGACCCAGUCGAAUAUCGAAAACGACUGAAAGCACGAGGGCUCCGUGCUUCCAAGCAAGUAGCUUCAAAACUAUAUUAUAUAUAUAGUAUAUAUAUAUAAUUGAGCUCCUAUACUUUUAAAAGUACCAAGUCAUUGGUGCUUGUAAGUUUUCGGUCCUUGGAUUAAGGAUUGUGCGGUUAGGAUGAUGUGGGCCCUUAGGGAAUUGAAAUGGGUGGUUGGUUGAAUGGUAUAAUCUAACGGGGUGGAAAAUAAUCAAAGGCAUAAAUUUCGGUAAAAAAUUUACAAGCACCAAGUGCUUUGGUGCUUUUACAAGCACCAUAGCCGGAACUAUAAUAUAUAUAUAUAUAUAUUAUAUAAUUAUUAUAUAUAUAUUAUAUAAUAUAUAUAUCUGUACUAUAUAUAUAAAAGCGAUAUAGAAAAUUCGACAAUGACAGACGGAUAUCCAAAAAGGAAUAAAAUAAUAUUUCCUUACGAAUGGUUAUGAGUUAAUUUGUUAAAACAUUCAAUAAAAACGAACGGUUAUGAUCAAUCUAUUAAAAUCUUUACUAUAUUUAAAAGAAUAAAUAAUAUUCCAUACAAAUGAUUAUGAUUAAUUUGUUAAAAAUAUCUCGAAUAAAAACGAACGGUUAUGAUCAAUCUAUUAAAUUGUCUACAAUAUAUAAAAAUCUGAUUCCUAAUGGUUAUGAUUAAUUUGUUAAAAAAUAUUUCAAAUAAGAACAAGCAUGAUCAAUUUAUUAAAAGUAGCAUUCAUAUCCAUCUAUAAUUCAAUCCUACUAUGAUUAUAAUCAAUUUGUUAAAAAAUAUCUCAAAUAAAAACAAAUGGUUAUGAUCAAUUUGUUAAAAAAUACGAUUCCUAUUAUCUAUUUUACAUUAAAAUUAAAAAUUUGAGUUUAAAUUAUGAAUUAAAAUAUAUUUUUGAUAUCUAAUCUGAAUUAACAAUUAAUUUGUUUGAUUACAGUGGAUCAAAAUUAAAAUUAAAUUUUAAAGUAAUGUGAAUUAAAUUUUGAUGCUUUUAGUUCAAAACACAUAUUUAAAUUUGAUUAAUAAAAAUCAAAAAUAUAUAAAAUGUUCGAUGUAUAUAAAAAAAAGAAUAUUGUUAGGAUAUUGUAAUAUUUUCUAAUAAAAUAUAACUUAUUAAAUUAUAAAUAUAAUUUUUAUUGUAAGAUUUUAAAUAUAUAUAAUGUAUAAAUUUAUAUUGAUUUAAUAAAUUAUAAUAAGUGUUACGUGCAUUUGCACGUAUAUUCACCGUAGUUAUAUUACUAUAUAUAUAUAUAUUAUACUAUAUUAUAUAUAUAUAUAUUAUAUAUAUAUAUUCUCGAGGGAGUCCAGUAAUAUUUAAGCUCGUCUUAUUUAAUUUCGAGUCAAGCUCGAGCGAGCCAAAAAUCUAGUCGAACGCGAGUUGAACACGGGCCGACUUGCUCAUUUACCAGUGAGCAAGACUUAAUACUCAAGCUCGGCUUGAAAUAAAUUUCAAAAUUUUUUUUUCCUACUCAAGCUCGGCUUAUUUAAUUUUGAGUAGAGCUCAAGCAAGCCAAAAUCUAGCAGAACAUGAGUCGAACACGAGUAGGCUCAUUUAUCAGCCAUAGUGCUGAAUAGGUUCGGAAUGUAAAACACCAUUCCACGACGAGAUUUGGAGCGUGAAACACAGUUGCACGGCGGGAUGCGGAACGUGAAACGCGAAACCAUUACCGGCCAAAUACGUCUAAAUAAGCACUGAUUUAUAUGUUGGAUAUGUUGGUGACGUCAUUCCAAGGCCUUCCUGGUGGGAGGAUGACAUGCGUUGUCACUUUUCCAACAUUAAUUAGUGUGUACGGGUGAAGCCUUGACGAGAUAUUUAAUUAAGACGAGUGCUCUUAAUAUUCCCUUAUAAAUAUCCCCAAGUCAUUCAUCCUAUCCCUCACAGCAAUCCGACGACAUCUUUGUGAGCAAGCAAACAACGUCCAACAAUGGUGAUUCAUUAGAUUAAUUAGAUCAUUAACCGGAGCAUAUAUAAUUAGUGUUCUUUCUUGCACUCAUUUUUUUGUCCAUCUUAAUUUAGUCUAAACUAUACACAUCCACAUGCAAUUUGUUUGUAGGCUGACAUCAAGCAGGGGCCUUGGGGUGGACCAAAAGGGAAUUCAUUCGACACGGGGAUUCUCGCCAAGUUAUUGGGCUUCAAAGUCUGGCAUGAUGAUGAUUACAUUAAUGGCAUUCGGUUCUUUUACGAGAAGCAGACACAACAUAUUUGGACUCCAGUGUAUGGUAGUCAAGUCGGACAGGUUGUUGAGGUCUGUAUUCUUCUUUAUUUCUCUAACUCCCUCUUUAGAUUUGCUAGCUUAGACUUUACAGUCAUAUCUAGAGAUUUUCUUUCGUGGACCCUUACCCUUAUUCACGACAUUCGCAAUUUCCAUCAUGGUACAUUGCCAUAGGGUCACUGCUACAUUUUAUACAGUGUUGCAUAAUAUAUACGAGACGUACGGAUGUGUAAUUCAUAUUAUUUUACACCUCAAAUUUUCAGAAUCACGUACUAUUGUAUUGAUUUUUUUUUUUUAAUAUGAUAUUUUAAGUUUUUGCUUAUCUGCAUUUUACUACAAACCUGUUAGUAAAAGUUGGUGCACUCACACAAGAAAAGAAAAUAAUUAUAAAAUACAGAUGAAAUAAGAUUCACUAGUCAAGAUAAAUGAAAAUAAUUAUAAAAUACAGAUGAAAUAAGAUUCACUAGUCAAGAUAAAAAUUACAUCUGGCUUUUUUUUAUGCAUAGAAUUAGUUCAAUCUGAGCUCUUAUUUUAAAUCUGCUUCACCUUUUCCUCGUCUUCUAUAAAAAUAAAGAAAUCUUUUCCUUUUCCUCUUUAACAUGCAACUAUAUAUUUUCAGCUAACUUUAUUUCUAAAUAAAAUAAAUGAAGCGGGUAUCGUGCUACCUAUCUCUGAAAAAAAAAAAAAAAAAAAAAAAAAACAUGUAACUAUACAUUAUGCGUGCCAAAAUACUUUAACGCAAGGCUCUCAAAAGCAGAGUCAACCAGCCUAACCUAUUUUUAAUAUGGUAAGUUGACCGCCCAAAGUUAAGUAGCAUUUCUAUGCAUUAUAUAAUGCAUAGGCUACAAUUAAUGUACACAAAAUCCUGUCAUAAUUGGAUAUUGUUUACUGUAAUUUAAAUUUAAAUUCUACUCCAUUUAUUAAUUAAAAAUUGGAAAUCUUCAUCCUAGCUACUCCAGUUAGAAUUUAACUUCCAAUCUAAACGAAUUCUAACAAAUAGUCGAAUUCCUUUGAAAGCCGGUCAAUUCAAUCCCCUUUCCAACUAUUGCGGCCAUAAAAUAAGUGCAAUCAGUCCAGGCGCUUGCUGCAGAUGCUAUGCACAUUCAGAUGCACAAGAGUAUUUGGAGUUGCUAGGUUCAAAUUAACUUGUUCGAUCUGAACUACAUUUCGAGUAAGUGUUGGUACAAUACAGAACCGGAGAAGAAUUUCGGAGGAGAAGCUACUUAGCUUUGUGUAUACUUUAGUCCUGCAUCAGCACUCAAAUGUAACAAAUUAAUGCAAUAAAAAUGACCAACCGUCCCUAGCAUAAGUGGCAAAGCAUUUGAUGGUUGGUAUUUGAGGUUCCAAGUUCGAAUUCUAGUUAAUUCACAUUUCCAGCUAAGUUUAUUUCUAAAUGAAAUAAACGAAGCGGAUCACAUGCUAUCUAUCGCUUAAAAAAAAAAGAAAACAAUAAAAAUGACCUACUUUUUUUCAUAUAUAAUAUACUGCUAUUUGAUUUCUCUAUUCUACAGGUUACUUUGGGAGCUGAUGAAUUGUUCACCGGCAUUCAAGGCACAUUGGAUUGGAAAGGAGGCAAAUAUGUUGCUCGAUCUCUUAUUUUGUUCACCAAUACUAGCCAGUAUGGACCGUAUGGUAAAGAGCAAGGAAGUACUUUCCUUCUGAAAUCAACUGGUAACAUUGUUGGCUUCUUUGGGCUGGAAGACGAUCAAGCCAUUAAUGCAAUUGGAAUCUACACUAAAGUCUAGUUCCGUUCUCUCACGUAUGCCCUUCUACGGGUUUAUUACAUGAUGUUUCUAAAUAAAUAAAUAAGGAUGCCAUUGGUGUGCUGGGGUAUCCAUUGUGUCUUUAUGUGUGUCUAUGUUCGGUUUGUUGUCAGUUAAAAAAAAAAAAAAAAAAAGUCUGUCACCUUUUGUUUAUGAAAUAAAGAAUAGCAUGCAUGCUAUUCACUUGUACGUGUUACCGUCGUAUUAUAAAUAAUAAAUAAAUAGUAAUAUAGUGUGUUGUACUAUAUGAAUUUAUAUGACAUUCUUAUAUUAGGAAUGUGCCAAUUUAUGCUACAACAAGUGCUCGGCUCAACAGAUGCGAAAGAUUUUUUUUUUUUUUUAACAAAAAAUUUUACCAGUAGCUAUAAAGGCAGUAAAAUUCUUGCUCAUAACACAAAAAAUAAACCAUAAAAAUCUAUUUUAUUUUAUUGGAUUAUAUUUUAAUGAUAUUAAUUUUUUAAUAUCUAUAUAGCACUAUUUGAUACAAAAGUAAUAAAUUUUCAAAACUUAUAAUCUUAACACUUCGUGUGGACUGAUUCUCUUAAUUAAUCCUUGAUGGUGUUAAUUAUCGAUUCAGAUUCUACAUUAAAUGACUCUGUGUACUUCUAAAACCAUUCUUGCUCUCAAUAUGAGUUUAAGCAAAACUACACUUCUAGAAGUAAUUAAAUAUAUGAUUAUUUAUUUCAGAAAUGAUUCGGUACUUUAUUUUAUAAAAAAAUAAAUAAUAUCUUAACCGUUGAUCAAUAGGCGGUAAAGAUGUAAUUUUAACAUUUAUCAAGUGAAUGGGUUACUUCAUUCGAGGUUAUUUUUGUAAUUAAACUAUGCAACAUUUAAAGAAAGUUUUAAUUGAUAUCCUAAAUUUACGCAUUAAUUUGCACUAAUUUGGGGAAUUGAUUGUGUCACGCCCCGGAUGUCUUGUUCCCCGGGCACGUCGACAAAUCCGCCGUAUACAAGGAAUUUUUCCCGUAUACGAAGCGUCACUGGUACCUGUAGAAGCAACAAUACUACAAACAGUAGUAUAGAGCAAAUGAAGAAGCUAACAUAGAAGAGCUUUUUAUACAUAUACAUAAAUCCCGAGUACAAAACCACUCGCACUGGCGAGUUCAACUGCUAUGUACAAAAGCUCCAAAAGAAAAAUCACUACCUGCUGUAAGGGGAGGACGCCUCUAACUCGAUCAGUCUGGUAGGGCUCUAGCUCGCGACGCCCUUGCCACGAUCCUGCUCAGCAGAGGAAGCAGCAGCCUGUACCUGCGGCUCUGCAAAAUAGCGGUAAAAGAACAGGGCGUGAGAACUACUGUAAACACAAGUAGUCCUCAGUGGGCACCGCCAAAAACAAACAUCGGUCACCCACUAAGUCUACAGAAGGGAGCAAGGAUAGAAGGAAAGCAGGAAGCAUACUCUACCGCUAUCAUCCACUACACUAUCAUGCUCUACACUAACCAACUGUAGGAAAUGUCAAAUCUGACCCAAUCCAAUCGGGACUGUAAGCAUACCCGUCCCCGGGACUGUGAAUACACCCGUCCCUGCCCCGUUGCGACUAUCGGGCUCUAUCCACACUAACUGGUCCGUGGAGAGCAAGUCCAACUGGCAUGAGCGACACCAACGCAAAAGCACAAGCCUGACUCCGGAGUGGCACUCGUGGGCGCUACCCAACCGAGUAUGCAGCGUAUCUCUGUCGAGCUCAAUCAGGCUCCAACUAGCCAAAGUCAAGUAAUCGACUCAAACUGGUCUAACAACCAACAGGUAACGUGCCCUCGGCACAAUCUGACGCCAAAAAGGCGAUACGGGUCCACCGUCAACUCUGACGGCACCCAACAGUCCGAAACGACCUGAACGACCCUGUAAAAAUCCACUCGGCGAACCAGCACGAGUGUAAAUACAUUCUAAACUACCUGGAGUACUCGUCUCGAAGAAACUGCGACAGUACAAUUUUCUAACGGCUCCUAGAGCUAAAUCAGGUAGUUAAAACUGGUGACAGGUCCAAAUCGCAGGUUUUCUCCUAAUUCAAUUUCCAAGUCCAACAUGUAUGAUCUAUUUACUUGAUAAAAUAUGCUCGAAAAUUCAGAUUUUACAUUCUAACAAUAAUCCAUGAAUUUGAGCUAUCAUUAAUUACCGAAACCAAGAUCUAUACAUGUCGACUAAUAAGCACUUAGGAGUAAAACCGAUGUAACCCACCUCAAGUGCAAUUUCCUGGCAGCGAACUCAGCCUCGGCCACCCGCGAUGCUGCCGGAUUCCUCAGGGACCACCUAGACCGGUCGCCGAGCUAAAACGACCAAAAUAACACAAAUCAGCCUAAGUUCACAGCAGCUGAGAAAGGUUUAGUUUCGACCAAGCUAACCUUGUCCAAAAAUUGCAAAUGAGGGCUCUGUGGAAUCCUCUCGCAGUCUAGAAUCCAAUGAACCAAGUUUCGUCGCGAUCCGACGCUCCUACACGGAGAACGAGCCGAAAUACUAACAGUCGACGCAGGAAAUCUGUGAAAACAGCACGCGUGGGCAACUUGGAAUCGAAGAUGGAUUCGGGGAAAAAUGCGACCAAAACAACUCACCUCCACAGUGAGGAACUACGACGCGGCGACAGUAACGUCGAAGACACGCCCUCGCCCGGCCUCCUCGCAGCGCCCCGGUCACACGCGCACUCGAACGGCUCGCGGCGCGACGUCGGCGACGAACUCCCCAACCGGCUUCUUCCCUACCUUCAACCGAGAGAGAGAGAGAAGAAGAACAGGUAAAACUCUCCCUCUCUCUCUGUUCGGACACCAUAAGAAGAGAAGGGAGGCGAUACAAACGAGGGAGAGAGAAAAUUACUCAUUUAGCCCUCUACCUACCCUGGUGUACCGGUACACGGGAUCGCGUACCGGUACGGCAGCCAACCUGAGAGCAACCCGCGCGCGCCCCAGUGCAGUGUACCGGUACACCUUAAUGGCUGUACCGGUACAGCAAGUAGAAAAACUGCAGUUUGCAGAUUUUCUUCGCUGAAAGUUGCCCUCGCGUCGUACGGAGCCCGUUUUGCGUCUAUUUGACGCCAACGCGACUCGGACUUGUCCCGACACUCUCCAGAGCUGUCGACAAGCCUCCACAGUCAAACACCAGGGAUCUCACAGAUUGAUUACCCAAAUUUAGGCACUUAUUUUAGAAAUUUUAGUGUUUCUCAAAUUUAGACACUAAUUUAAUUUAUCGGAAUUUUAGAAAUAGUUAUAUUUCUAACUACGUUGAAUAUAAAUAUUAAAUAUUAAUAUUAAAAUUAAAAAUUUAAAUUUAGAGGAAUUUUUUAUUAUUAUUUCAAAAAUUUGUAAUGUUGGUAAAUAUUUUAAUUAAACAUAUUUAAUAUGUUUAAGAAACUUUUAAAUUCCUAUAGUUUAGACAUUAAUUUUGUAUCACUUAUUUAAAAAAAUUUGAAUGUAGGAGAAAAAAUUAUAAAUUAAAUGUAUUUAAUAUGUUAAAAAAAAUUUAGAAUUGUUCUACUUUAGGCAUUAAUUUUGUAUCAUUAUUUAAAAAAAUUUAUAAUGUUGGUAAAUAUUUAAAUUCAACAUAUUUAAUAUGUUUAAUAAAAUUAUGAAUUCAUCUUGUUUAGAUAUUAAUUUUGUAUUACUAAUUUUAUCAAAUUGAAUGUGGGAAAAUAUUUAAAUUUAACAUAUUUAUUAUAUUUAAAAAAUUUCAGAAUUUUUCUAAUUUAGAUAUUAAUUCUUUAUCACUAUUUUAAAAUUUUUAAUGUGGACAAUUGAUUAGAAAUAUAGGGUAUAAUUCAAAUAUAUUGUGAUAUACUGAACCUUAACAAAUUGUCAAGAUUACAGUAUAAGUUUAUGCUUGAUUGAGUUGCGCAAAAUAGACGUAAAAACGGACUUUGAAACUCAAGAUUUAUAUUGUAGAGGAGUAAAGUGGAAUACUUAGUUAUAAAGGGGCUUGUUGGCAAUUUUUCUUUAACUAAGCAGUGGAGUCCACGUGCUUUCCCAUCCUUAUCCCCGCCGCUUUAAUUAGUGGUGGAGGGGAGGGAGUGAAGUUAAUUAGCUUUUUUUCUCUAUCUCUCUUUAAUUUAGCUCGUGUGCACGGUGGAGAGCUCGAGCUCGGGAGAUUUUCGUCGUAGUUUCGGAGAGCCGUUCGAGCGUGUGGACGUCGCUGUUAUGCCAUUGGAGGCCCGGUGAAUGCGUGUUUUUCUCUCCUUUCGACUUCUCGCCGUGGUUGGAUUAGCUUUUCAAGGUGGGUCAAAGUGAUGCUUACCGGAUUUUGCGGAUUUUCUCCUAAGUUCUAUUGUUAGCAUGUAUUCGUAGAUAUUGUCAUGUUUCAUUGCUCAAUUCAUCGAUUUAUUGUAUUUCUAAAAUCUGAAUUGGAGCUUAGAAUAUUAGUUAAAUAAUACAUGUUGGACUUGGAUUUGACUUAGGAGAAAACUGGCGCUUCUACACUGUCAUAUGUUAAAACUACCAGAUUUAGCUCUAGGAGCCAUAGUUUGUUUGUAUCGCCGCAGUUUCUGGGCGGUGGAUACCCAGGAUAGUGUAGAAUAAUAUUACGCUCGUGCUGGGAUGCCGAGCUUAUUUUUACAGUAUUGUUCAGGCUGUUCCAGAUUGUCGGGUGCCGUUGGGGUUGACGGUGGGCCCAGAUUACGGUUGUUGCAUCAGAUUGUGCCGAGGGCACGUGUCUUUUGGUUGUUAGACCAGUUAGACCCUGUUUACUUGACUAUAGCCUGUGAGAGCCGGAUUGAGCUUGACAGAGACGCUUGCGUACUCGGUUGGGUAGCGCCAGCGAGUGCCACUCCGGAGUCGGGCUUUGUGCUUUUGCAUUGGUGUCGUUUUGUCCUGGUUGGACUUGCCCUCCACUGACGACCUGGUUUGGUGUCAGAUAGUGUAGCUUCGACAGACGGGACGGGUGUGUUCAUGGUCCCUAGUGAGAUUGGGUCAGAUUGUACUUUUCUACAGAUAGUGGGUGCUAGAUCGAGAUAGUAUAGGUGCAUAUAGCUAUAGAUUUAUUCCAGCUUUCUUACUAUACUUGUUUAUAUCUGUAGACUUAGUGGGUGAGCCGUUGAGGUCAGUAGCGAUACCCACUGAGGAUUGCUUCUUUUGCAGUAGUUCUCACGCCCAGUUGUGGGAAUAUUUUGCAGAGCCUUCUUUUUUGGCUGCUGCUGCUGCUGCUGAGUCUGAUCGUGGAAAGGGUAUUGCGAGUUAGAGCCUUUCCUGACGAGUUGCAGAGCUAGAGGAGUACCGGUUACAGGUAGUUGUAGUUUUUGGUUAGUAUACAUACUGAUAUUGUUUCUCGUUGGAGCGAGUAUUUUGGUUACCUGUGACGCCCCGACUUCCCAGGGGGUCACCCAUCCUAGGACUACUCCCGUCCUAGCACGCUUAACUCUCUUAACCUCUUGGGCCUUGCCACCACCCAAAAUGCUUAAGCCGGGUUAAGAGUUUAGCCCUAUUAUAUCUUAUAUAUAGGACUAUCUGGGGUCUCACAUUACCUGGAUGCUUUGUAUGUAUAGUUAACCCCCGUUGUUUAUAUAUAUAUUUCAUUUCUUUUAGCAGCUUUAUACUACUGGUUGUAGUAUUGUAUGAUUACAGGUACAGCUAUCGCUUCGUAUACAGAAAAAAAUUUCUUUGUAUACGACUAAUUUGUUGGCGUGCCCGAAAAAACGAGAAAUCCGGGGCGUAAUAUUUAUUCUUAGAGUAGAAUUGUAUGGGCAAAAUUAAUUCAAAUUUUAUUAGUAAAAAUUGAUUUUUUUUAAAAUAAUAAGAUCAUGUAUUGUAAUUUAAAAUAUAAGUUGAAAACAAAAUAAAUUUGAAGUUUAGAAGCUAAAAAGUAUACAAAAACCUCCAAUAAAUCUAAAUAGUAUAGUGCAAUUUAAACUUACUAAUAAAUAAAUUUAGACUGUAUAAUUUAAAUUUUAAGCUUAUAAUAAAUCUCCACCAUAGAGUUUUAUUAGAGUAAACAAAAUUAGAAAUAAAAUUAGAAAUGUAGAUAAAUUAAAUAAAUUUAUAUUGAACAAAUCUAAGCUAUUUGUAUAUUUUAUCAAUUUGAUCAGUCUAAUUAAUUUGAUUUACUAAAUUGAUUUUGAUCUUACCUUUAAAAUUUUUCUGUUUUUAGUUGAUUUUUUAAAUUUUAGUUCUUUACAAAUUGAAUUUGUAAAGAAACAAAGAGAGAGAAAAAGGAAACAAAAAGAAUAAAGAUUUUGAUAAUAUAGUGAGAUAAAAUUACUAAAUUAUCCAUGUAUUAAAAGAUAAAAAUAUGCUUCUUUAAGAUACUUGGUAACCGAUACCUCUCCCAAAGUAACCAGCUAUUACAGGUCACAAUUUAAAAAAAAAUAAUUCUGAGCCAUUGGAAAGGACUGAAUAAACGGUAGAAAAUAACAAGUAUAGAAGCGCUACUCUAUUUAUUUUUAGGGAUAAUAUCUAAUACUCUUCAAAACUUUAAAAGUAUUUAAUAUUACCUUUUAUUGACCAAAAUAUAUCCUCAUUGAUUUUCAAAAGGAUCUUCAAAUAUACCCAACAUUUUUGGAUUUGCUAAUGAGAUUUGAGAUUUAGAAGGACAUUUUGGAUAUCAAAGAAUAAAUUUAAAAAUUAAAAAUAGUAUUUAUAGGUUAUUUCAACAUAUCCAGAUAUCUUAAAUUUCUGAAUGAGAUUACUAUUUAUACUGUGUUAGCGCAAUGAGAUUACUACUUAUACUAUGUUAGCGCGUUCGGUUUAAUACUGAAUUGUAGUGUAUAUAGCAUUAUUAUAUUUGGUUCAGUUUAUAAAAUUAAAUAAUCCUCACAUGUAAUCUAUUUCAAAAUUGUCCAUGGUAUCCAUACUCGAGUCUUCAAUGGUAAUAACAUAAGUAAAGGUCCCUUUUAAUUUUUAUCUCGGUUCGAUCCAAAGUUCAAUUAGUUGGACAUCCUAGAUCUAAUAAUUUAUCGGGGCCGAUCCAUUGGACCAAAAUGUUAUAACUUAAUUGUAUUUGUGUUGGAACAAUUACCGCACAUAAAUCUGAUUGCGAUUUAAAUCUAACUAAAAUUUAUUAUGAAAAUAAAUAAAUCAACUUACAGAUGAUCACUAAAUUCAAAUAAAUAUUUAAUUGAUCCGGAAGCGUGCGAGGCACUGCCCUAAGGCGUAUUUCCAUCCUUACGUCCGGGAUUAACCGGAAACACGGUCCCAAGGUACGACCGGAAUUCCUCCUUCUGCGAGCACGAUCGUUAAGAGGGUUGACGAAGACUCUUUCAACACCUGAUGAUAAAAAUAUCAAAGACAAUAAAAAAAUAAAUUAAAUAAAAUUUCUUCUUUCAUUUUUUCACUUAACUCUCUCAGCAAUGUUCAUAUCUAUAAUGAACAGUGCAAUCCAUUGUAUAUAUAAUGGAGAGAGAAUGAAACAUUGGAUACCCAACGUUUCCAACAUCCCACUUAAUUCAUGCCUUUAUGUGGCAUAAAGAAGAAAUAAAUUUAAUUUAAUUAAUCUAAUUAAUUAACAUAAUAAAAGAUAAUAAAUGAGAAUAAUUAUAAAAUUAAAUGAUAUUUAGAGAUUUUGGAUUUUCUCCAACAAUCCCCCACAAAAUUCAAAAUCUCAUAAUUAAACUCAAAAAUAAAAUAAAUAAAUGAACAAACAAGUCACUGGGUGUUUAUACUAUGCAAUAGGCGAGGUGUUUUUAAGAGACUUAACCUCAGUUAGUGUAGAUAGUUUCCAUCAGAAGGAAUCGGAGUGAACCAGGUCUUGAACUACGUUCCUUUGACCCUGACUUCAACUAUCACACACACAGUACAGAAUUCUCCGUCGCGGGUCUGUGCGUUAAUGGCCAUGCACAGUACCUUGAUUUUUCAUAAGAGUUUCUAUGGAUAGCCCAUUCACAUAGCCGCGGCCACAUACCGAUACUCUUAUAUAGGUGGUUUCCUCUAGGGAUGUAUGUAGAGUCACAUCUAGCGGAAAUUACCGCCUUGGAUCCUAUUAAGAGCUCUCAGCUCAACCUAAUCCACUACACAGAGCACUACUCACCAUAGGGAUGGAAUUGGAGCUAAAGCUCCUCUAUAUAGACUGAAGAAAGUGCUCUUUGACCAAUCUGACAGUUUGUUUUUACCACAUUGAACCUUCUUCAAGGGAUCUCCUAUCACAAAGGUUGGGUUCCCACUGCAGGAAGGCCCUUUAUGGGCAAGAUCCCAUCCCCCUCGAUGACAGUAGGACCAUAGUCCUCUUCAGGCCUUUCGUCAAGUAAUCUGCAAGAUUCUGAUUAGAUAUGAUAAAACUCAAAAAAAUAAUAUUAUAAGAGGUUAGCCAUCUAAUAAAUUUUUUUUUUCUCAACUUAAUAUGUCUGAUAAUUUUAGAAUUUACUACUUACCAAUUUCAUUUAUAAGCUAAACAUUAAGAUCACAAAAAAAUGAAAUUGGUAGAGCAAUCAUAAUAUCAAAAUUUAUCAAAUUAAUAAAAGAACCUCCCGCAUAAUUAUAGAGAUAUACUAAAAUUUAAAAAUUAUGAAAUUUAAUCAUGUUUAACAAAUUCAGUUCAACAAUAAAUAGAUUGCAGAAACAAUUUUAAAAUAUUUGAUUUUAAUUAGGUAAUUUGUUUGCAAACAAUAUAUUGCAAGCAAUGUAUAAAAAUAUUAAAUACAAUCAGCAAAAUUAUCACAGUAAAUAUGUGCUAGCUGUUGUAUACUCAGUCAUGCUGAGAAGUUAGAUAGUUGUGAUAUUAAAUCCAACAAAUAGAGUUUACAACGACAGCAACAAUAAAAAAAUGCAAUAGUAUUAGUGCUGCUUGUUAGGUGAUCUCGCUCAAAAACCGUGCUUUUAGAAACUGUGGGUUGAAAUUCCACUUAGAGCAAAAUUGUUUGAAAUUAAUUUUGCAGCAGAAUUUUUUUCUUUUUUUUUUUCUUGAAAAAUAAUAUGUAUAUAAAAUUAAGCUUUAAGAAAAUCCGUACACGCUAAAAUUGUUUUACUGUAACAAAAACCUCCUUUCCUUUUUUUUUUUUAUUUAUUAUCAAAACAGUAAAAUAUAUAUAUAUAUAUUUGAAAAUAAUAUGUACAUAAAUUAACUUUAAAAAGCUGUACACUUAAAAAUAAUUUACUGUAGCAAAUGUUUUUUUUACCGUACAAGUAGUUUAAAACUUAUAACAAGCAGUAAUUUCUUUUUAAUAAUCAAAAGGUUUUACUGUAGCAAGAUUCAAACCAACCUCCGUACACAAGAAAUCUAAAAAAAAUACUGUAACAUUUUUUUAAAAUUUUAAAUAACAGUAGAAGACAAAUAAAAAUUACAAGCAAAUUAUAUGCAAUUAAAAUUUGAAAAUACUAAUCCCAACUUAAAUUAAUAUUGUAUGUCAAUCAUACAAGCAAGUUAUCAAACAAAUUAUCUACAAUGUAUAUAUGUAUAGAUUUUAAUGGAUUAGCACCGUCAGAUUUAACCACAAUCAGAUAGGAAUACGCUUUAAAUUGUUGGAACAAUUAUCGCACAUAAAUCUGAUUGCGAUAUAAAUCUAACUAAAUUUUAUUAUGAAAAUAAAUAAAUCAACUUACAUAUGAUCACUAAAUCCAAAUAAAUAUUUAAUUGAUCCGGAAGCGUGCGAGGCACUGCCCUAAGGCGUAUUCCCGUCCUUACGUGCGGGAUUAACCGAAAACACCGCCCCAAGGUUGUCACGCCCCGGAUUACACUUUCCCCGGGCGCGCCGACAAAUCCGCCGUAUACAAAGAAAUUUCCCCUGUAUACGAAGCGUUAGCUGUACCUGUAAAUCAAACACUACCACAAACAGUAGUAGAGAGCUGCUAGAGAAAACAGAAGCUAAACAAACUGAGUUUCAUAUACAUAGUCCAAAUCCAAAAUACAAAGCUACUCGCACUGGCGAGUUAAGUCCACUAUGUACAUAAACUCGAAACAAAACAUCUACCUGCAGUAGGGGCACCUCUAGCUCAGCACGUCGGGUAGGGCUCUAACUCGCGACGCCCUUGCCUCGAUCCUGAUCCGCGGAAGGCGCAGCAGCCGAAACCUGUGGCUCUGCAAAACGGGGGUAACAACUGGGCGUGAGAACUACUAUAAAAACAAGUAGUCCUCAGUGGGUACCGCCNNNNNNNNNNNNNNNNNNNNNNNNNNNNNNNNNNNNNNNNNNNNNNNNNNNNNNNNNNNNNNNNNNNNNNNNNNNNNNNNNNNNNNNNNNNNNNNNNNNNNNNNNNNNNNNNNNNNNNNNNNNNNNNNNNNNNNNNNNNNNNNNNNNNNNNNNNNNNNNNNNNNNNNNNNNNNNNNNNNNNNNNNNNNNNNNNNNNNNNNNNNNNNNNNNNNNNNNNNNNNNNNNNNNNNNNNNNNNNNNNNNNNNNNNNNNNNNNNNNNNNNNNNNNNNNNNNNNNNNNNNNNNNNNNNNNNNNNNNNNNNNNNNNNNNNNNNNNNNNNNNNNNNNNNNNNNNNNNNNNNNNNNNNNNNNNNNNNNNNNNNNNNNNNNNNNNNNNNNNNNNNNNNNNNNNNNNNNNNNNNNNNNNNNNNNNNNNNNNNNNNNNNNNNNNNNNNNNNNNNNNNNNNNNNNNNNNNNNNNNNNNNNNNNNNNNNNNNNNNNNNNNNNNNNNNNNNNNNNNNNNNNNNNNNNNNNNNNNNNNNNNNNNNNNNNNNNNNNNNNNNNNNNNNNNNNNNNNNNNNNNNNNNNNNNNNNNNNNNNNNNNNNNNNNNNNNNNNNNNNNNNNNNNNNNNNNNNNNNNNNNNNNNNNNNNNNNNNNNNNNNNNNNNNNNNNNNNNNNNNNNNNNNNNNNNNNNNNNNNNNNNNNNNNNNNNNNNNNNNNNNNNNNNNNNNNNNAAUCAAGCUAUCUCCAAGCUAUCAACAUCAAAAUCCACAAUUCAGUCCAAAUACACAGCAGCAGAGAAGAGAAGGGUUUCGACCAAGCUAACCUUCACCAAAAUCCACAAGUAAGGACUUCGUGGAUUCCUCUCGCAGUCCCGAAACUAACAAAUCAAGUUUCGUCGAAAUCCGAUGCUCCUACGUCGAGUACAAGCUGAAAUACCAACAGUCGAUGAUAAAGUUCAGCAAAACAGCACUUAAGCUAAAAUAUCCCAAUUCUAAUGUCAAAACUCACCUAAUGAACUCCAAAUCAGGUGAAGAGGGUCCCAAUUCCAGUACUGGGUGAUGGGGAACGUGACUCAACUCCACAAAGCCCCUGCUUCCCAAGUUCACCCCAAGAAAACUCAAAAAUUGGCAAAUUCUGUCCAAAGCUACAGCAGCAGAGGAAAAUCUGAGUUCGACUGAGCUAACCUUCACCAAAAUCUGCAAUUCAGGGCUUCGUGGAUUCCUCUGGAAGUCAAGAAUCCAGCAAAACAAGUUUCGUCGAAGUCCGACCUUCCUACGUCGCGCACGAGCCAAAACACUGGAGAUCGUCGCUGAAGAACUGCAGAAUCAGCACUCCAUCAAGCUGGAUUAUGGAAGUUUGAUGCAAUUUGAAGCAAAUCCGAGGUUUGAGAUGCUAAAAGGGGUUUCUCUGUGAAGAAGGGAAGAAAAGAGCAGCAAAGGGACGCAUUUCAACUAUUUAUAGGGUGAAAAUAGGAUCCAAUGAACCUCAAGAACAAAGCUUGCAAUCUGCUGUCCCUGCAGAAACGGGCAUUUCCGGGCGCCCGGAACCAUGUUCUGGGCGACCAGAACAUCCUGACAGCAUAAACCGGACCCUUCGGACUCUCCGCCCGCGGUGCGCUGCGCCCGUAAACGACUCCGGCGGAACUUACCUACCACCCUGCCACGCGUCGAAGCAAGCGAUAUUCACGAUGUCAAAUUUCCGGACCCACUUCCGGGCGCCCGGAACUUGGGAUCCGAAUUGGCUUCCAGUCUCAGUUAAAUUCAACACUCGUUUCUGGGCGACCCUAACAAUGUUCUGGGCGCCCGAAUCUGGCAAAACUCCAGUUUUGCCUAUUUGAGUGCGCCGAGUCCAAUUCUGCAUCCAAUUCGUGCAGAAUUGACUCCGACUCAGUUCGACACUCUCCAGAGAUGUUGACCAGUCUAUAAUACUGAAGCCAAUCCUAUCCAAAACUCAGGAACACUACAAAGGUACGACCGGAAUUCCUCCUUCUGCGAGCACGAUUGUGAAGAAGGUUAACGAAGACUCUUUCAACACCCGAUGAUAAAAAUAUCAAAGACAAUAGAAAAAUAAAUUAAAUAAAAUUUCUCCUUUCAUUUUUUCACUCAACUCUCUCAGCAAUGUUCAUAUCUAUAAUGAACAGUGCAAUCCAUUGUAUAUAUAUGUGAGAUCCCUGGUGUUUGUCUGUGGAGGCUUGUCGACAGCUCUGGAGAGUGUCGGGACAAGCCCGAGUCGCGUUGGCGUCAAAUAGACGUAAAACGGACUCCGUGCGACGCGAGGGCAGCUUUUAGCGAAGAAAUUUGCAAAACUGCAGCAUUCUCUGCUCGCUGUACCGGUACAAGCUUAGUGGCUGUACCGGUACAACCAUCGCAGACUGCUCUCGGGUUGGCAUGUGUACCGGUACAGAGCCCCGUGUACCGGUACACUUGAGUAGGUGAGGGGGUAAUUGGGUCUUUUCUCUCCCUCGUUUGUAUCACCAACCCAUUCCCUCUCUAUAUAGCUUGGUGCUGAGAGAGAGAGAGAGAGUUCUUGUUGCGUUCUCUUCUCCUCUCUCUCUCUAGACUCGGUUACAGUGGAGAGCUUGGUUGGAGAAUCCGUCGCCGACAUCGCGCCGCGGAACCGUUUGAGCUCGCGUUUGACGCCGGGGUAGCGCGAGGAGGCCGGGCGAGCGGAGGUUUUUCGCCGUUUUUACUGUCGCAGCGGUGCCCGGUGUUGUCGAGGUGAGUAAUUCAGCAUUUCCCUGAAUUUUUGGGCAGGUGUUUGCUACUUCAACUCGGAAAAGUGUUGUUUGCUGAAAUCCACCGUCGACUGUUAGUAUUUCAGCUCGUACGCGACGUAGGAGCAUCGGAUUGCGACGAGACUUGGUUCGUUGGAUUCGGGACUUCGAGAGGAAUCCACGAAGCCUUUACUUGCAAAUUUUGGUGAAGGUUAGCUUGGUCGAAAUCCUUCUCUUCUCUGCUGCUGUGGAUUUUGGACUGAAUUGAGAAAUUUUGGUGUUUUAGUUUGGAGUUAGCUCGAUUUCGAGACUCGGGCGUUUUUGGUCGAUCCAGCAGGUGGUGUCGCAGUCGAGGGGGUUCUGUGCUGCCAGGGAUUAGCGUGCGAGGUGGGUUACAUCGGCUUUACUCCUAAGUUCUUAUUGGUCGACAUGUAUAGAUCUUGAUUUCGGUAAAUUGUGUUAGCUCAAAUUCAUGGACUAUAUGUAGAUUGUGAAAUCUGAAUUUUGGAGCAUGUUUUAUAAAUUAAGUAGAUUAUACAUGUUGGACUUGGAAAUUGAAUUAGGAGAAAACCUGCGAUUUGGACCUGUCACCAGUUUUAACUACCUGAUUUAGCUCUAGGAGCCGUUAGAAAAUUGUACUGUCGCAGUUUCUUCGAGACGAGUACUCCAGGUAGUUUAGAAUGUAUUUACACUCGUGCUGGUUCGCCGAGUGGAUUUUUACAGGGUCGUUCAGGUCGUUUCGGACUGUUGGGUGCCGUCAGAGUUGACGGUGGACCCGUAUCGCCUUUUUGGCGUCAGAUUGUGCCGAGGGCACGUUACCUGUUGGUUGUUAGACCAGUUUGAGUCGAUUACUUGACUUUGGCUAGUUGGAGCCUGAUUGAGCUCGACAGAGAUACGCUGCAUACUCGGUUGGGUAGCGCCCACGAGUGCCACUCCGGAGUCAGGCUUGUGCUUUUGCGUUGGUGUCGCUCAUGCCAGUUGGACUUGCUCUCCACGGACCAGUUAGAGUGGAUAGAGCCCGAUAGUCGCAACGGGGCAGGGACGGGUGUAUUCACAGUCCCGGGGACGGGUAUGCUUACAGUCCCGAUUGGAUUGGGUCAGAUUUGACAUUUCCUACAGUUGGUUAGUGUAGAGCAUGAUAGUGUAGUGGAUGAUAGCGGUAGAGUAUGCUUCCUGCUUUCCUUCUAUCCUUGCUCCCUUCUGUAGACUUAGUGGGUGACCGAUGUUGUUUUGGGCGGUACCCACUGAGGACUACUUGUUUUUACAGUAGUUCUCACGCCCAGUUGUUACCUAUGUUUUUGCAGAGCCACAGGUUCCGGCUGCUGCACCGUCUGCGGACCAGGAUCGAGGCAAGGGCGUCGCGAGUUAGAGCCCUACCCGACGUGCUGAGCUAGAGGUGCCCUACUGCAGGUAGAUGUUUUGUUUCGAGUUUAUGUACAUAGUUGACUUAACUCGCCAGUGCGAGUAGCUCUGUAUUUUAGAUCUGAACUAUGUAUAUGAAACUCUGUUUUAUUUAGCUUCAGUUUUCUCUAGCAGCUCUCUACUACUGUUCGUAGUAGUGUUUGAUUUACAAGUACAGCUAUCGCUUCGUAUACAGGAAAAAUUUUUUUGUAUACGGCGGAUUUGUCGGCGUGCCCGGGAAACGUGUAAUCCGGGACGUGACAAUAUAAUGGAGAGAGAAUGAAACAUUGGAUACCCAACGUUUCCAACAUCCCACUUAAUUCAUGCCUUUAUGUGGCAUAAAGAAGAAAUAAAUUUAAUUUAAUUAAUCUAAUUAAUUAACAUAAUAAAAGAUAAUAAAUGAGAAUAAUUAUAAAAUUAAAUGAUAUUUAGAGAUUUUGGAU
rnacentral:lncRNA from 1 species